rnacentral:lncRNA from 1 species
CAACCAGCUUGGACUGUACGUGUUUAAGUUGGACAAAUCUAAGGAGCCUGUGGAUGAUUGUCAAGUGACACUGCUACACAGGCCUGACCCUGAAUGCAAGAUUUCCCACGAAGUCGACCCUAACAACAAAUCGAAAACUGCACCGGUGGCCACCCGGAAGCUCAACCUAUUGGAAGGAGACAGCGUCGAUGUCAUCGCACCAAGCCACCGCGUUGCCUACCCUCUUGGUUUGGUAGUUGAGAAAGCUCAUCCCGAGUGCGAGCAGUUCGCCAAAGCGCGCAAGCAUUUUCAGAACUAAUUUAAGGAAUUGAAGAUGAAAACCGUCUGAUAUUAAAUCAAUCUCCAAUUUCAGUGAAUUUUUCUUUUUGAUUGCAAAGAGAGAUGAAUUUUUCUUUCUGAUAUUCACAGUUAUGUUUCGUGAAUUCACAACAAGUAUAAACAAAGAAGUGUAAUUAGAAGUGCACUCAAGUAUUAUAUCCGUGAAGAUAUUGCCAUGUCGAUUAAUCUAGUCUUUUUAUUUUUUACUUUAUUAAUUCUUAAUUAAGAUUCAAUUUAGGACCUAUUUAAAGAGAAGUAAAAUACGAUUUAAAAUCUAUCUUAUAACCUAAUAAUCUCCUAAUCAAAAUACUAAACUUUUAACAUGUCACCUAUCAAUUUAGCCCUUAAUUAUACUAAGCUUAAAUUCCAUGGUCCAUACUAGUUUGAUUUUUAUUUUUUAUUUUGGUGUGAAAAUUUGGUCUUUUCUUUUAAAUAAUGUGCUAGAUAGUGUGAAAGUAGCAAAUAAAUAGUGAUGUGUGCAAAUUGGAUUUGACACAUAUCACAACCCAUAUCAUCAUUAAGGCCCUAAAAAUUCAAUCAUUCUGUGCCUGGUUAAUACGUUAAGUAGUUUAUGAAAUGAUUAAGAUCGAAGAGGAUCCAUGACUUGUAAUGGAUCACUUGUUCAUUUCCUUAAAAUAAUAAAAAAAUAAACUCGCAAUACCGACUCCAUUCGUAAUUCCAUCAAUUACUCGUCUAUCAAAAAAAUAAGUUAGUUUAGCUAAUCUUCUUAUACUGUUAGUAAAGGAUAAUGUGAAAUUAGGAAAUAAAUAAUGAUUAACGGACCCAAAACAUUGAAUUAUUGUGUGCCCAGUCAGAAAUUCUUCGAGGGCACGUAGACAGGUCCCCAUCUAGUAUACUAUGAGGAAAAGGACAGCCCACAACAAGUUUAUGUCUAUAAAAUGCCAGAUGCUCAUUGAAUGUCUUGUGCCCAUGAAAGAUUAAAUAUAUUUUCACAGAAUGCGUACCAUGGCUCUCACAAAUCAAGGCCAGUACCUCUGCUUAGCUUUUCUUUUCAUUUUGGCCAUUUGCUCCUCUCAAGCAUCGUCACGCCAAAUUUAUGAUGAGAAAACCAUGUUGGCGAGACAUGAAGACUGGAUGGCUCAAUUUGGGCCAGUUUUUUUUGUAAGGAUGCUGAGGAGAAACAGAGGCGAUUCGUGAUAUUCAAGGCCAACUUGGAGUUCAUUAAGCUUUUAACAAACACAUGAGCCAGAACUACUUCACUCUAAGCUUAAAUGAAUUUGCAGACCUAACCAAUGAGGAGUUUCAGGAAAUUCGUAAUGGUUACACGAAACGAUCCUCCAAAUCGAUCAUGUCCAAUUCCACGAAAGCUACAUGUUUCAGAUAUUGAAAUGUCACUGAUGUGCCUCCUUCAGUGGAUUGGAGAGAAAAGGGUGACGCCUAUCAAGGACCAAGGCAAAUGUGGUAAGUAUUAAACAAGUUGUUAAAUGAUGAUGCAUUCACUUUUUCACAACAUAACAUGUUAUUGAGUGAUGAGGCAUGUUAUUUCAAUUUUAUAGGGUGUUGUUGGGCGUUCUCAGCAGUGGCAGCGACAGAAGGGGUUAAAAAGCUCAAAACCAGAAACUAAAUCUCAGUAUCAGAGCAAGAGCUUGUGGAUUAUGACACUACAGGUCAAGGUCAUGGCUGUGAAGGUGAUCUAAUGGAUGACGCUUUUCAAUUCAUCCAACGCAACAAAGGCUGACAACUGAAGCUAAUCACUCCUACCGGGGUGUAGAUGGAACUAGUUGCAACACUCAGAAAGCUGCAUCCCAAACAGUGUCCAUAAACGGGUACGAGGAUGUGCCUAAAAACAACCAAAAUGCUAUGUUGCAAGCCGUCGCUAACCAACCAAUUUCGGUUGCCAUUGACGCAAGUGGCUGUACCUUCCAGUUUUAUUCAAGUGGGGUGUUCACCGUGGUAUAAACUUAGAUCAUGGUGUUACUGCAGUUGGAUACGGGACUAGUAGUGAUGGGACUAAAUACUGGCUGGUGAAGAAUUCUUGGGGCACAGGGUGGGGGGAGGGUGGAUAUGUGAUGAUGCAAAGGGGCAUUCCUGCCAAGGAAGGACUCUGUGGCAUUGCUAUGGAAGCUUCUUAUCCAACCGCAUGAUUAAUUAAAAUGCAUAUAUGUCAUAAUCAGCCCCGAUCUCUUGGACCACAGGGGUCCAAGAGACUAUGGUCACCCACCGUUAGAUGUAACAUCCAACGGUUCAAAAAAGUUUCUUAAAAGGAGUGCAAGAGUGAGUGAAUCGUUGAAUUUACAUCCAACGGUGAGUGACCACAAAUCUCUUGGAUCCCUAUAGUCCAAGAGAUCAGGACUGAUGUCAUAAUAUAGUGUGGUGUAUAAAAUAUGUAUAAUUGAAUAAUAUAGAAAGACGCUAGCUAUGAGCUGCUAUCCUUCCACUUUGAAAUCCAUGCCUCAAAACAUAGAAACAAUUAACCCAUGACGUGGAUUUGCUCUUAAAAUCUCACGCAAUUAAUUAGCAGCUAUAGCUAUGAGGUUGACAUGUUUUCAUUACCAUUGCAAGGUUAAAUCAAGUUAGAUUAAGGGUGCAUAUUUUUGCUCACCAUCAUUCUUAAUACUUGACAUGUAUCUAUGGGUAUAACCAUGGUUAUAUAAAUAUAUAACUAUGAUUAUGUCAAUGAACAUACGUGUCAAGUGUUAAGAUGGGUAGUGAGAAUACACAUCUGGUUAAAGUGGUGAGUAAAUAUAUUCCCCUAGAGUAAUCACAUGAUCAUGUCAUUGAUCCUACAAGGUAAAACUGUGAAACGACGUCAUUAGACUUGUUCGUGGGUGGCAUGGAUUGGAAACAGGUAAUUAACCAUAGAGUAUGCUACACUUACCACAUUUUACCCCACAUUUCUAUACCAGAUGAUGUGACAUGUCCAUAUCAUAUGCCAUAUCAAUUAAAUCAAUGAAGUGUAUUGUAAUAAAGAAAGUUUAACUAACAGUUUUUUUUAAAGUGUUAAUAAAUCAUAAAAAGAAAAGAAAAUAUUAAAUAAUUUUAAUUGAUGUGACUGUCCACCUCAUCUGCCACAUAAGGUGGUAUGGGAAUGUGGUAUACAAAUGUGGUAAGAGUAGCAUUAUUCGUAGAGAAACCUAGGUAUUUAAUCCCAUAAUUUUGUAUAAAUGGAAAGCAUAUUACACCGGAGACAAUGAAAUAAAAAGAUGUCAAAGCUUUCAAUAAUACUUUAUAUUUUUAAAGAGGGGGAAGUACAAUAUUAUGAUGAAGAGAUGAGUCUUUUUGUCAAUUAAGAUGCACCAUUUAUAUAUCCUACAUCCACAUUACCUUUUGCAUGAUCCUGCCAUGAACAUCCAAAAAUGCAACGAUCUAGUUAAAAUUCAUUUCAUUGUUCCUAUAACUUGUUCUUCCUAUACACACACAAAUUCCAUGAAUUAAUUGACAAUGUGAUAUUAAUAUUACCAUAUAACAUUUUCAACAUUCUCAUCUCGUCCUUGCAUUCAAGUAAAGAAAAGAAUACACGUAUCCAUGGAUUGUUGAUGUCUAAAUUUGACUCAACGGUUUAAGAUCGUAAAAACAACACAUUCACAUCAUGACACACACUCAAGUCAGGCUACGUCCAUAAUAUACAAUUAGUGAACUGAAUUACAUGAAUCUACAAGUACGGGAUAUAAAUGCUACAAGCCCUACAUGCUACAAUAUCUGUCCUAUUUUUGGGUCAACCAUUCCUUAUUCUCUUUGAUAGUACAAUCGAGUUUACAUGUUAGGAUCCUAACGGGGAUAUUAAACGCUGAAAAGGAAAUAAUCAAUUCCCAAUAAGCCCUUAAUAUCAUCUAACCAAGAUACAAGCCUCAUAUAUAUCUUUACAAAUCUUUCUAGUUCUUAAAGGUUAUAGCAUCCAUGUAACAACCCGAUCCAAAAUUAAUAUUUAAUUAUUAAUUUAUUCAUGUAAAAGAUAUUUUUACCCCGGAAUAUUUUAAUGAUUUAAAAGUUUACUUUUUAUUCAGGAAGGAAUUUGGGGAUUUCAGUUGUACCGUUGCGUAGAGCACAUCGAGAUGAGUCUGUAGACACGUAAUGGGCUCAAAUUCGAGUUGUUACGAGAGAGAUAUGAUCAAAAUUCAAGUAAAAUCAUAAUUUUGCCAAACUGGUUUUUAAAACUAGAAUCUCUCUCUCUCUCUCUCUCUCUCUCUCUCUCUCUCUCUCUCUCUCUCUCUCUCUCUCUCUCUCUCUCCCUCCCACCGAGCAGCCCCUACCCUUCGAAUUUUGUUGCACGGCCAGUGGCUCCAAGAGCCACCACAGCCACCACUUGGGGCGGCACCGGUCCCAAAAGGACCAUUGUGAGGUCCUCUUCUAGUGCUACACGGUCUCCGCCGCCAAACACCAGCACAGCUGCCGGAUUCUGCGGAAAUCCAGUCGAAAUUGACCCGUUUUUCCUUCGAUUGUUUCAGACGUUUUCGGGGUCCAAAUUUUAUGAUUGAGGUAUGCUUUUCGAUCCUUUCGAGGUGUUUUCGCUGCUGGUUGUGUUAUUUAGGAGAAAUUUCUGCGUUUUGGUAGUCAAAUAAGUAAUAGAAGUUUCGGCCUCCAAUUUCAGCCACUUUCGGCCAUUUUUCAGGGUAGGUCCAAGAACAAAAGUAGCUCCAAUUGAUGUCCUGAACCUAGGGUAGGAAGCUUGGCCAUUAAUUUUGAGAAUUUUCCAGCGAUCGUUAUCGGUUUGGGCACCUGCGCGCUGCUAGCGCGUGUGGUGGAGCGUAGGCACUGUAGCAAAGGGGCAUUGUGUCCUAAAAUGAUCUCCUGGGCCUCACGAGCGCGUAGGUACUUUCGGAUUCCUAUUUGGUUAACGUUUGGACCCCAAACGGAUUUUGCCUAUUGUGCGAUUUCCGGGUUCGAUUCAUUUGAACCGUUGGAUCAUAGUCAAUUUCAUAUAUGUUGAUCUAGGUAAUUCCAUAAUUGUAUAUGAUUUGACGGAUCAUAAAACAAAGUCCCGGAUCCUCCGAAAAUACCAACCCUAUGGCUAGGUUUACACUAAUUGUCCGAUCGUGGGUAAUCCGACCGUCCGAUCGAGACCAAACUCUCGGAACAUGUGUCCUAGGAAUUUUGGAACCUCUAGAAACUUUCGGAUCGGUAUUUUGAGGGCGUAGACCCCAUGGGGUCCCGGGUUGACUUUUUGAGACUUUAUCGCUUUUGAGUCUUGUGUCUCUUUUAGACCAUCCUAAAUAUGGGAAAAGCUCAUGUGGGCAUAGGAAUGACUUUAAACUCGAGGCAUGCACUUCUAGGAGCGGGGGUCAUUGUUUCGGAUUAAAUAAUGAUGUUGAGUUCUAUUGGAAGUUGAUAUAAAGGUCGGGAUAUGGUUUUCAAACCCAUUACAGGAGUAACCCCUAGUUGCUUUGAAACAGUUUAUCAUUUAUAAAUAUUGCCCCACGAGUUCCACGGACACUCGAACCAUGUGGUGUGAUGAAUGCGGCUCAGGCUGACUAAUGGUCCCCUGAGGCCUGCGAGGAUUACGACUCGGAUAGAAGUAGUAUGUCUAAGGCCUGCAAGGAUUACGGCUCAGAUAAAAGUGGUAUCUCCGAGGCCUGCGAGGAUUGCGGCUUGGAUAGAAGUGGUAUCUUUGAGGCCUGCGAGCAUGGAAUUGACGAUAUUAAUAGAAUUGACGGAUCAGGAAUAGGGGUACGACUAGGUGGAGAGAAUUUCAGUUAUGAGAUAUUCAAGCACCUUAUUAAAGGGGAAGAACUACGUGUGGCUUGAUCCCUUGUUGAGGGUACGUAGGCAAUCUAGAAUUCUAGGUGCAGCCACGAGGUCAAGUAAUAAAGUUAGUCCAGUUGAGUUAUUAUGAAAUCUAAUACAGUUCUAGAGAUUUUAUAAGAAAUUGAAUUGAAUGUUGUUAGCAGAAUGAUUUAUUCGAUUUAUUGAGGCCGGAGGCUAGAAUAAUAAGAUGCUUGAUUUUUGGAUAUAAUUUGAUACAUGCUGGCAGUUGGGUUAAUAUAAACAUAUAUGCUUGUUUUACAGGUGGGAAUUUUUGGGAAAUGUUCAAUUUAGAGGGGAGACUCUAUUGAAUUUUUAGCAGAAGUCGUACUUGAAUUUCAUUGAAUUUUGGUUAGAAGGGCUUUUUGGUCAAUUGUGUCCGGCAACCACCAGGUGUCGGACACGCACAUAUACUAAGUACUGGCCUAGCUUCUUAAGAGCAAAAUUUUAAUCAAUUUUUUGCUUUAGUUUAUGUGUUGAAGGUAGUGUAGAGACGUAGAGAAGAAACAAAAUAAUUAUCUGAAAUUCAAACAUACAAAGCCAAAACCAGGGAUAAGAAUAUAACGAUAUAAACGAUAACAUUAAUAUUUAGCAAACUUACAUAAAAGCAGAAGGGCAAUAGUGCUUAACAAAAGCUUCGCAGAAGCAGCACUUGGAAUAUAAAAACACUCAAACACUCAAGCACUCAAACACUCCAAAGUACAAAGUUUAUUUCUGGAGGUGAUAAUUUUGCGAUGAUCUACAACUGAGGAGAGGUCCUCCUUUUAAAGCUUCAGGGCUGUUGUCGUGUCAAAUAAAGACAAUAAGUCACAAAUCAGCCUACAGUAGAGCUGCAUCUUCACUUUGAGGAUUCUCGCUGAACUUUCCCGCAAACAGUCAAAAAGAAAAAGCAAACUUUUUAUAAAAGCGAAAGCAGAGCUAAAGCAGAAGAAUCUUGCUUUAACCAGAGGAAAAAUACAGUUAAACGACAAGAAAGAAAAAACUACAAUUUUACAAAUUGUCUCUUAUCAGACAUAAUAUUACUGAGCCCACCAUAAAGCUCCGUAUGGAAAUUGUCCAUGUCUUCAUUAGCAAAAGGGUCCACCUCAUCUUCAGGCUGGGUGGCAGAUGCUGAAGCCAUAGAUUCGUCAUCCAGAUCGAGAAUUUCAAGGACUUUCUUUUUCAACUCUUCUUUAGAAGAUGAUGAUCCUGGCUGGUCUAUCCACAGUUGCAACUUUUGGGAAACAGUCAGAUUAGAAGAAGUGACCAAAGGCAGAGCAGCAGCAGAGGCGGGAGAUGGGAUAAGAGCUGGGACGAUCUUGGUGGGAGCCAGGUGAUCCCUAGUGAAUUUAUCCCACUAUCCGAUUAAGAUACUUCAGACUAAAUUUGGAAUAUAAGUCCAUUCCUCAUCAACAUCCUCCGAAAUAAUAUAUUCCCAUUUUAAUAUACAUGGUAGUUCAUACAUUAUCAUGAACCACAUGAAUAAGGUCCUUUAAUCAGGAUGGUUUUUAUUCCAUUUGCAAAAUUUCAUUUGAAAAUAUUCCUUAAUUUCAGGAGGAAGGUAUUCCAAAGUAGGACCCCAAAUCAGAAAGAAGCUCUUGAACCAAUUAGGAAGUUCUUUAAGAGCUCUAAGCUUAAACUGGAUAAACCAAGUAUGAGAAUAUUUUUGCUUUUGGAAACAUAAAACAUAUUCCCAUGCCUUUUUAUAAUCCCAUAAAUUAUAGGAAUAUGGCCAAAUUUCAAGAUGGAUAAAUCUCACUACUACAAAAAAGCAAAAAGACGACGGUAAAUCAUCGUCGUGUAUUCGGUUUUCCAAUGGUCGUGGAAUCCACCGUCAUCUUUUCCCUCAUAAACCACGACGCUAAAUCACCGUCGUUGUUAAAAUAUACAACGUCAUCAACAAAUACAAAACGACGUCUUUGUACUGCAAAAAGAUCUAAAAAAGCAGUCGAGGAUGAGAACAGGCGACCAACUCUCUAAAAACACCGUCGUUAAAAAGGAAAAAUAUGACACAUAUUAACAGAACAAGGCCGCAAGAUAGACAUACAACGACGAAAAUUAAAAUAAGACGCCGUUAAAUAUCAUUUUCACGACAAUAAAAAAUAUGGCGUCUUUAAAUACAUUAGAAGACGACGUUAUUGAUACCUACUACGUCGCCUAUAUAAAAACAGCCGUCGUAAAAUAAAUUUUCCACUUCGAUUUUUCUAUAAAAGAUGACGUGGAAAUAGUUGUCAGUGUCAUUAUUUACGACGUAUGUAUUUAUAGAGUAGACGUUGAACAACGAAACAACGUCGGUUACAAAUAUAUGAGAGUCGUAUUACAAAAUUUAUACGUCCUAUUUUCAGAAACAAACAACAACGAUAAAUAUUAGACGUUGUUAAAUAAAACAACGUCGAAAACAAAUAAAAACACACUUGUUUAGUCUGCUAAAGUUCUAAAAAAUAGUCGAGGAUGAGAAUAGACGACCAACUCAAAUAAAUCACCGUCGUUAAAAAGGAAAAAUAUGACACAUAUUAAAAGAACAAGGCCGCAAGAUAGACAUACAACGACGACAACUAAAACACUACGCCGUUAAAUAUAAUUUUCACGACAAGAAAAAAUAUGACGUCUUUAAAUACAUGAGAAGACGACGUUAUUGAAAUCUACUACGUCUCUUAUUUACAAACAACCGUCGUGAAAUAAAUUUUCCACUUCGAUUUUUCUAAAAAAGAUGACGUGGAAAUAGUUGUCAGUGUCAUUAUUUACGACGUGUGUAUUUAUAUAGUUGACAUUGAAAUGCGAAACAACGUCGGUGGCAUUUAUAUAGUCGACGUUGUAUUUAUAUGUAUUCAUUACUCACGACGCACUUAUUAAUAUAGACGACGUUGAACUUCUAAACAACGUCGGUUCCAAAUAAAUGAGAGCCGUAUUACAGAACAUAUAGACGGCGUUGAUUAUGAUGAGAGCCGUAUUACAAAUAACGUCGAUUAAUUGAUAUUAGACGGCGGUUAUAAUGAAUUACCGUCGGAAUUCAUUUCGUUCCUCUUCGUUUAUAAAAGAACUUGCGACGUGGAAAAUGUAUGAUGACGUCGUAUUUUUUAACAUUCAGAUUAUAUAUCUCGUUUUUUAGACGUCGAUAUUAUGGGAUUGGAGUCGUGUUAUUUUGAAUUACAUGGCGGUUCUUAAUCCUUCCCCGACGUGAUAUCCUGAAUAAUUACUUCACAAUAGCGUCGUGGUUCUUCAUUGUUACGUUGCUUUAAGACGUCGGUAAAUAUGCUGAAUAACUGGUUCACAAUAACGUCAUGUUUUAUUUGAACAGACGUCGUUUUUUAUGCAGAAUAUAAUGAUGUAAUCUGGAACCAGUAUUUUUUGCACUGAUUGUUUUGUGGCCAAAACCUGUAUAAUGAAAGUGAAGAAAUCACAUUACAAUAUAUUACAAAAUUAAUGUCAUACACUGCCAAUUAGGGGUGGGCAUUAGAACCGCAAAACCGCAAAACCGAACCAAACCAAACCGAAAAAAUCCGGAAAAAACCGUGUUGACUAAAAAAGUCAAAAACCGAGUCAAAUCUGAACCGGACCGGUUCAGACCGGUUCCGGUUCCGGUUUUCUACUACAAGGAACCGUCCAAUCCGAACCGGUCCAAUAUAAUUAAUUAAUAUAUAUUUUUUAUAUUUUAUAUAUUUAUAUUUUAUAUUUUAUAUAUAGUUAACAUGUGGCUGUUUUGUAUUGGCUAUCUAAAAUACUACCGUACGCACACAUACACAGGAUCAUCACAACUAAAACACACGAUUUAGGGGUUUCUUCUUCCUUCUUCGAUUUUUUUCCUCUCCCUCUCUCUGAUUUCAGAGCCGCCGAACCCGAAGAACCUUUCCUUUCCUCUGCGUGAAACCAUUGUUGCAGCCAUCCUUGUUCUUCUUCAGCCGUCGCGCCGUCGUCCUCGUCACGCAAGCAGGUUCAAUUCUUCUGGCUUUCUUUUUUCUUUGUUUUUUCGUUUUGUUUCUUUUCCCCCUUCGAUUCUCUGUCUGACCAUCUCUAUGUCCUCCAUCAGCAGUUCGUGCAGAUCAUCAUCCAUAUUUCUGGAGUAGGUUGCAGCUUCGCACUCCUUUUUUUUUCUCCCAUUGACGCAGCCGUCCGUGCACUCCUCCUCGUCAGUUUUCCAUUGAAGACUCUCUCUGGACUCCAAGAGCAGAGAGCUGCUUACUUGGGCUCUGGUCAAAGUGGCUGGUUUUUUUUUAAAAAAACUAACUGGUUUUGAUGAAUUGGGUAUGUGUAGAAAUUGUGGAUCAAGAUGGGAAGUCGUCACUUCUUUCCCUGUGAAAGCGUUCGACUCUGUUGUUCUUGCCAUCUAUGAAGGUUUCUGCAACUUGAAACAGGUUCAUUUCUCGCAAAUUUUUGUUCUUUUAUUCGUUGGGAUUUUGUUGUCCUUUUGUAUAUUUAGUUAUAUCCUCUGGUUGUUUGCUUAGAAAAUGAAAGAGUGAAAGCACGAAUCAUAUUUUAUUUUAUGUUUUCCACUACUUGAGAAGUUCAAAGUUUCAAAACAAUUAAGCCAAGUUGUUAAUCUUCAAUAUUGUUAUCUCUGUUUGCAUUUGUAUUUUUAUCAAACUUUCAUGACUGUAUAUUUCUUCUGCUCAUUAUUUGUUUAGGGAAUUAGAUAUGGUGUUUCGGUUUGUGCUCAUAUUGUGCAUUCAAUUUUUUCAAUUUUGCAGUUUUGCAGAUUUUGAGAUUUUCAGUUUUUCGUUUUGCUUUAUUACUGCUGUCAUAGGCAACUAUUUUGAGAAAUUGGCUUGCUUAGGGUUCUUUGUUUUUUCGUGCUGAAUCCAAUGAUGCAAAGAAUGUCAAAAUUGGGCUAGUGGUUUGAAAGCUAAAGGCUAAAAACUGAACAGAUGUUAGAUUUGUCAAAACUGCAAUUUGAAACCCUUUAUUUUCUUGCUUGGCUCAAGUCUAGUUAAUUGGUUUCUGUUUUUCAGUUGCUUUCUAGUUAAGUGUUGUUAGCUUGUAGUUGACUUUUGUUUGUUGUUUCGGUUUGAUUUACUAGUGUGCAUUCAAAUUUAUUAAUUGGUUGUGCAUUCAAAUGGAUUAAUUGAUUAAUUGACAGUGUAUAACAGAUUUGCUGCAAUAUUUUUCAGUUUUUCAGUUUUGUAGUUUUUCAGUUUUUCAGAUUUUCAGUUUUGCAUAUUUUCAGUUUUGGAUUGAAUUUGGAUUGUAUUUUUGUUGAAGUUGGAUUCAUUUUGAUGAUGUUGAAGUUGGAUUGAAUUUGGAUUGAAUUUUUGUUGAAGUUGGAUUCAUUUGAAUUUGGAUUGUAUUUUUGUUGAAGUUGGAUUCAUUUUAAUGUGUUGAAAGCUUGAUGGAACCUCAAAUUUGGGGUAUGUUAGUAUAUAAAAUACAUUUUGGGCAGAUUUGUUAAAAUUUAAAAAAAAAAAAAAAAAAAAAAAACCGGAACCGCAGGAACCGAACCGGAACCGGACAGGUCCGGGUUGGUUCGGAUUUCUGUAUGGAUGUUGAGCAGAACCGGUCCAAACCGAACCGGUCUGCACUAUCGGAUCAGGUUCCAUUUUUCCCCCGGAACCAGUCCAAACCGAACCGUGCCCACCCCUACUGCCAAUUACAUAAGCAUCAUUCAAUCCAUAUAUCUUCACACCCAUCUCGAAUAUUUUGACCACCUAACUCACCCACCAGUUCAUCAAAUGUGUCAACAUUUGGCAUCCCUCUAGUAAAUGGCUCACACUCAAUUAUCACAUCACCUAAGACUUCAUCACCAAUAACAUCAUUAUAUUCUCUAUUAGGCAUUGAUAACACUACCGACCAACCAUGAUGCAUCGGGUCGUCAACAAAAAAUAUUUGUUUGACUUGAGAAGCCAAAACAAAUUGGUCAUUCCUAUGUCCAAUUUUACUCAAAUCUACAAGGGUAAAUCCAAGUUCGUCGACUACAAGACCAGUACUAUCUAUCCAAUCACACCUAAAGACUGGGAUUGUAAACUUUUGGUAGUCAAGGUCCCAAAUUUCUUGAAUGACACCAUAGAAACCCAUAUUUGAGAGAAUUGGGUUUUUAUCCUUGGCACUAGCAACUUGCAUGGUAUGUGCAAGUAAAUAAACUCCACUAUUUUGAGUUGUCCGCACAUCAUCUCGUGCCUUGAUAUUGAAUUUAAUACCUUUAAUAAGAUAGCUCCUAUAUAAUGGCAUUGCCAUGUUUGGACCAGCUGCUAGCCACUUUAAAUUUUCUGAUACGCCAUGAUUGUCUUCCUCAAGUUCACUUUGAACCUACAAAUUAAUCAUAUCUUAAUUCAAUCUAACAUAGAAAUAAGAAGAAAAUUAAAAGAGAAAUAUGUUAUUCAACAACAUAUACCUUGAAGCGUAGCCAUUGAAUGAAAGUGCUAUUGUGCUUAUCCUGCAGCCACUUUGUUCUCUUUCUAAAUUUUGGAUAAGCAGUCUUGAUGUGGAUCAUAUGUUGCCUACAUGACACGAAAAAUUCAAGCAUUACGGUCCCAAAUAUAUAAGCUAAACAUAAGAAAUAAUUUAAAAUGGAAACUUAAAGAAUAAAACUCAUACGUACUCGAUAUAAGGUAGGACUUCCUCCGUAUUCUCCAAGACAUAUAGAUGUGCUUGAUUCAACAGGUCCUGUUCAAUCGUUGUCGUAUGCCUAAAAAGGCGUAGUGUCUCAGUUUAUUUUCAAGAACCCAAAACCCAUUAAGAACACAACAUAUAUAUGAAACCAAGCAAGAAACCAACAUAUACAUGAAACCAAGCAUGAAAACAAUAAAUCCAUUCCCAAUUCAACAUAACAUAGGGUGAUUAAAAGAUCCGACAAAAUUAAAUCCAUUCCCAAUUCAACAUAACAGAUAAUGUAAUCUAUGAACCCAUUAAACAGAAAAUCCAUGAACCCAUACCUGCACAUUAUUAACAGAUCGCAAAGCAUAUACCUAAAACCCUUUAAUAAAACAACCUAAUAUCAUUCAAUGAAUUUACAAGGGGAAGAUAGGGUUUGUACUUACAGGUUGGACGAGCUCACAGAUUCGACGGAGCCUGGAAAGUGCAACUUUUAAUUAGAGCAGAAGUGAGAGAGCGAAAUGUUAUGUUGCGCGAAAUCUGAAAAUUUUAGGGUUCAGGGUUAGAAGUAUAAGAAUAAGAGCCAAAUCUAAAAAAUUUAGGUCGCGCGAAAAUUUUUAGAGAGCGCGCUCUUUAAAACGUCGAAAGAAAAACCAUAGCGAAAGUUCUACAAGAACCGACGUAAAUGUAAUAUUCCACGACGGAAACACUGAACGUAGCGCCGUUUAUUUUGACGCUUGAUUUUUCGGAUUAAUUUUAAAUUAAUUUUGAAUAUUUUGAUAUAAAGACGACUGAAAAACCACGUCAGGGUUAAGAAAUUGAAGACGUUGUAAAUUAUAAUAGAUGACUUAUAUAUUAAAAUGACGUCAUUUAAAGUAGAAACCAUGUCGGAUAUUUUACUGCACGACGUAACAUAUGUAUUCCACGACUCAACCACCGUCGUUAAAAAUUAAUACCCUAAACCCUUAAAACUAAAUUAUAUAAUUUAAAAUUUUAAGUUUAUAAAAGGGUUUAUGGUUUUACAGCCUAAUAUAUACCCUAUACUACUCAAAAAUUAUACUUUAAAAAUAAACCCCAAUAAAUAACAACCCUAAUCUCUAAACCCUAGACUCUAAACCCUAAAGCAUAAAACUAGAAGUGAUUUUAUGACUCAUCAAAACAAUUUUGUUUUGGAUGGUCAUUUUAAAUUUUUGUUAUUCAAAAUGAAUUUUUUCAAGGUUUAGGGGGAAGAAAAUAUAUCAAUGACUUCAUAGGAGUUGACUUUGCAUUUUUCUGAUUUAUUUUAAAUUUAUUUUGAAUAUUUUGAUAUAAAAAUAAUAAAAUAUUCUUAUCACAACAACAAACCACGUCGGUGUUAAUAAAUUGUAGACGUUGUAAAUUGUAAUAGACGACUAAGUUGUUAAAAUGACGUCGUUUAAAUGAGAAACCAUGGCGGAUAUUUAACUAUCCGACGUAAAAUAUAUAUUCCACGACUUAACCGCUGUCGUUACAAAGUACUACCCUGAACCCUUAAGAAAUUGAAGACGUUGUAAACCAUAAACGACUCAAUUGUUCAAAAAACGUCGUCUAAAUAUCUUUUUACGUCGGAUUUGUUUAAAACGAAACAACAAAAAACGACAGUUUUUGACUUUAUUAGGUCGUUGGAAAAGUAUUACACGUCGGUUACACAAUUUGUAUGUUUGUUUUUUUUUUUAAUUUAAGAAAACCCCAACAAAUUUUUACAUUAUAUAUUAUAGACAAAAUUUGUACAUUAUACAUAAAUAUCAAGUGGUCAAUAAUUCCCCUAUUCCAUGUGAAGGCAAACAAACUCUGCCCAUUCAUUCCGGACUUCAUCAAUUGCUUCUUGGGGGUAUGGCGCUUCCUGUUUUCCCUUGGCAUACUGCAUAAACAAUGACUAUUAGGGUUUAUAAAUAAAAAGAAAUUCAAUCACAGACGAUGAUAUUUUUCAUAACCGACGUAGUAUAUCUAUUCAACGACGGUAAUUUUACAUGACCGUCGUUGAUAAUACAAAAAACGACGUAAAAUGUAUGAAGGUAAUUUCUUCUUACCUUCUUCUCAAACCCCAAGGAAGGAUCCAUGAUGAUGUCCCUCAUGAAACGCAUCACAUAAUACCCGCAUUCGACACUGCUGGGUUGCUUUGGUGUGCCUGACAGAGUUUUCCAAAUUACUGUUUUACGGCCUGAUCUGGCUAUGUGAGAAUUAUAUAUUUUUAUAGCACUGUUCACGAUGUUUUUGCCCUCUUCAUCGACCACACGAUUUCCAGGCAGAGGAUCCAGAAAAUAGACGGUUUCCCUCUUUGCUCUCACAAUCAGCAAGAUCCAAUGACAGCUGCACAAAAUUAAUAUAAAAACGACGGUUAUUUACAAAAAUGACGUAUUAUAAUAUUUCACAAGACGAAAUAAAGUAGCAAUCGACGACAUUAUAUAUUUAUCACGACGAUAAAUAACUACCGACGUGGUUAGUAGUUUCAAACAACUCAAUAAAAUAAAACACCGACGUGGUUAGUUUAUACGCUGUCAUUUAUUGAAAAUCAUAAAAACAAAAUCCUGUUAAAGAGACUAACCCUGGAUUGUAAGGCAUCAUGAAAAUCUGUUCACCAUCAGUCUUCUGAAGUCGAGCUGCUACCAAUCGUGAUCUGUCAGCUAUUGUCCCAGAGUUGGCACUAACUGUAGCAGGGUCGAUAAAGCCAACCAUGCUGCACAUAUUUGCUUGUUUCAAAAGAUCAUGUAAGUACCUAAAUAUAUAAAAUAAUAUAAACAAGUCAGCACAAAAAAACACACGACGGUUAUGUAUAACAAAACGACGUAUUAUAAAAUUUCACACGACGUACUGAAAUAGACAACGACGUUAUAAUAUAUUUAUCACGACGGUACAUACUAACGACGUGGUUAGUUAGUUAAGACGACGCAAUAAAUAAACCAACGACGUAUUAUUUUAGAAUGACAAACCUCAUAUAUACAGCAACCACAGUAGCUCCUAUUUCUUCCAUGCCUGCAAAUUGUGUAAUAUCUUCAGGCAGAACGAAGGUAUCGCGUUCUAGACCAAACACCUCCUUAUCAAUUGUAAAGUUCAGGGUCUUAUCCUGAGGCACGAGUGUCGUUUCCACAUAACGACAAAGGGAUUUUAAAGAAGAUGGCGCCUCCACAUUUGAAUAAUCAACAACUUUAAUAACCUGUUUAAAGAAAUAAAAAAAAUGACGUGGUAAUUCAAUAAAAACGACGGUUUAAGGAAUAAAACGUCGUCUGAAAAGAAUUUAAACGACGGUGAAAAAACCGUCGUGGUGAAUAAUUUAUUACGUCUUAGAAAAAAAUUCCGCCGUCUAAGUUGUAAACAAACGACGGUUUAAAGAAAAAAAUUCCGCCGUCUGAAAUUUUGAAAAACAAAUAAAAAAGGCAAAGUUAUGUGAACAUACCUGGUUGUCAUGCUUUUCUUCAUCUUCUUUCUCCUUUUCAUCUUGUUUUUCUUCUUUCUUCUCUUCAUCUAUUACGCCGGGAAUGACUAACACCGUCGUCUAAAAACCACAAAGUUUUAAAAAUAACGACGUUUAAUGGCGUGUAAAACAUGUAAACUAAAUACGACGUGGUAUUGAAAUACAAACGACGGUUUAUUUUUAAAAUCGUCGUGGUAUGUAUUUCAAACGACGGUUUUAUUAAUAAUAACGACGUCUAAUAGUUUUUAAAAAAACAGAGAAUUCAAAGUUCAGAUAUGUUACCUUUUCUUCCUGAUGUUUCCCAUUUUUGGCAGUAUCAUCCUCAAAAUGUAGGGAUCUCACAUCACCUCCAGAGCAGCUUGCUUUGUCAGACAUUGGAUUUUUGGGACUUUGGCUAAUUCUUGGUUUAAGCAUGCUUGGAUCAAAAUUGAGAAUUAAUUGGAAAAGCUGACUCAGGAAAUGCUCCCUCUCAGCCUCUACCAAUUGUUUGGUUCUAGCCUCCAUCCUUAAAGCCUCUUCCCUUGCCUUAGCUUCCAUCUUUUUAUUCUCUUCUUGAAGGAGAACUCUUAAACUGUCCUUUAAACGGUCGUCAAAGCUCAUCCUCUGUGGUUUGGGUAAAUUGAAAUAUUGCCUUGGGGAAAUCCCAGCACCUACACCUCUCACUCUGCCUGGAUGCUCGGGGCCCAAAGCCAUGGUCAGCACAUCAUUGCUGCCAGAUAUACUGACUUUGCCUUCCGAGACUUGUUUUUGCAAUUCAUCCUAAAACAAAGAUAUAUAAAAAAGUAAGAUCAAAAAACACACGACAGUUAUUUAUAUACAAACGACGUAUUAUAUAAUUUCAGACGACGCAAUAACAUAUAAAUCGACGUUAUUAUAAUUUAUCACGACGGUAGUUAUACCGACGUGGUUAGUUUUUUAAAACGACGAAAUGAAUAAACCACCGACGUCUUAUGCUUUAUUUACAGGUAACAGAGGGAUGAUUCAAUAUUCACACCUUUAACGACCUUGUUUAAAACAUUUCGACAUAGUAAUUUAAUACAAACGACGCGAAAAUGAACCAUCGACAUCUUAUGCUAUAAUUACAGAAAAUAGAGUACUGAUUCCUGAUUUAGACCUUUAACGACGUUUUUUAAAAAAUUUCGACGUGGUAAUAUCAUUCACACGACGCAAAAUAUAACAUAAGACGUAAUAAGAAUUAUUCACAGUUUAAUAAAAAUUUAAAACAGAGUGAGUAGGCUUACAAUUAAUUUUGCUUUCUCUGCCACCUUUGGAUUCGGGAUGUUACCAUGUUUGUCCUGUCUAGCUCUCUUCCAUAAGGUAGAUCGAUCAAUUUCUACCCCAGGCAUGGUUUCCUCCAAUUGAUCCUCCAAACCAGCAUAUCCUUUUCGAGACCUCUUCCCUUGCCUUAGCUUCCAUCUUUUUAUUCUCUUCUUGAAGGAGAACUCUUAAACUGUCCUUUAAACGGUCGUCAAAGCUCAUCCUCUGUGGUUUGGGUAAAUUGAAAUAUUGCCUUGGGGAAAUCCCAGCACCUACACCUCUCCCUGUCAUUGGUGUAUCGAAGGAUAUAAUGCCUCGUUAGUGUAGACUUGAAAUCCUUCCAUUUCUUGGCAGCAGAAGCUAACACAGAGUUCUUGCCCCCUUGACCUACCACAAAAGCAAUGUCAACUGCUUCCCAAAUCUGCUCCUUUAUAUCCUUGGGGAUUUGAGCCCAUUUCAUGUCCACAAGUGGAACUCUGGAGCGUGCCAACACACCAAUGUAGGACUGCAUCUCACUAUGUGCUUGGCCAAUUCCUUUCCCCCUUUUAUUGUACUCAACAAUUGGCCUGAGUUUCUGAAGUUUUCUCUUCACAACACGAGGCAUUGUGCUCAUACCUCGACCAGACUUUGAAUCAUCAGAGAUUGUUGUCGUGCUGGUUGGUUCUGUCUCAGCAGAUGAUGAAGCAAACUUCAUCUUCUUCGAAGACUUCUCUUGAGGAGUUACCAUUCCAAGCUCCUUACCUCCAUUUUUCUUGGAGCCAGAGUCCUUACUUUGGUCUUGAGAAACCAUUUUUACAGACAAAACUGCAAGUGAAAAUAUUUCAGGAAAAGAUUAAGAACACAAACGACGGUUAUUAAUAAAAUACGACGUAUGAUAUGAUUUUAAACGACGCAAUGAAAUAAUCUCAGACGUAAUAAAUGUUUAAAACCAAGGUAAUUAAACAACGACGAAAUAAUAUAAAAUAAGACGUAAUAAUAACUUAUUACGUCGAUAUUUACCGGACGACGUGAUAAUUAACUAUAAACGACGAAAUAUUUAUAUAACGUCGUGGUAUUGAUGUUCACACGACGUCAAUAGUAAUAUACCGUCAUCUAUAUAAGGAUCCAAAACCCUUCUUUCUUUCUCUGUAAAUGUUUGAUUGCAGAUUUGAUUUUUCUGAACCAUGGUUUUUGUUUUCUAAUUUGAUAAAAUACAAGGCCAAGAAAGAAAAUUUUGGAAUCUUAUAUAGACGACGGUAUUUUAAUAUGACGUCGUGGUAUUAACAUUCACACGACGUAAAACAAUAAGAUACUGUCGUCUAUAUUAGAUACCAACCCUACUUUCUUUUUCUUUAUAUUUUAUCAAAUUAGGGAAAAACAAAAACCAUUGUUCAGAGAAAUCAAACCUGCAAUUAAACAAGCAAAUAAAAAAAAGACUAUAAUUUUAAAAACAACUUUGUCAAUUUUCAGACGACGCUAGAACGACUGACGAACCGUCGUGGUCUACAUAUUUAACCACGUAAAUAAGAAGCUACCGUCGUCUUAUUUAGUUGAGGUAGUUGUCUUCAAAGUAGGAAACUUUCCCUCUUUGUCUGUAUAUUUUAUCAAACUUGGAAAGAAGUAAAAUGAUUUUGGCCAGAAAAAAGGUAAAAAGAUUUUUCAAAUAAAAAACGUAUGAGCAUGCAAAACAGCAACCAAAAUAGUGAAAAUGAAAGCUUACCUUUUGCGUGCAAUGAAAGCAAGAGGAAGACGAUGUUUAAGUUUAGAGACGACGAAGAAGACGAGAGGAAGACGAUGAGAUACUCUGACAGUGUUCUGACAAGGAAAAAAGACAAAAAGUUUUCUCUGGGAGAUUGAAAUUUUUAAUCGGGUUUGGAAAUAGUGCAUGUGUAAGUCAGGUAGACGAAAAGUUGCUUACAUAUAAAACCAUUUUAAAAAAAUAAUACGGCGGUUACAUAUAACUACGACGUAUAAAUUACAAAAUACGACGGUACAUUUAACUUCGGACGUGAUAAAUAAAUACGACAGUAGAGUUGUAGGUACCGUCGUAGUAAACUCAAAAAUUAAAGUACAUAAGUAAUAACUCACGUCAUGGUAGAUUAUUUAACACGUCGUUUUUAUUAAUGUACCGACGUGGAUUUCUGUAAUAUAUGUCGGUCAUACCGACGUUGAUUUUACAAUUUAAACGGCGGUUUUUUUGUAAGGACCGCCGUUGGUUUUAAAAAUUUAUUCUAUAAAUUUGUCGCUUUCAUUCAUUUUCGGUUUACAUUUAGGGUUCCAAGUUCUUCCUCUCUCAGAGACACUGUCUCUCACAUCUCAAAGACAAUAAUUUGGAUGUCUUUCUCAAAGAGAAAUUGAGCUUACUCGCAUCAAAUCUAUGUCCACAAGAAGAAGCUUGUCAACUAGCCUUCUCACUUCCUUGAUCAAGCCUGAUAGGACACUUAGUGCUUCUGAAUACUCCUUGCUUUCCAUCAAAAGAGAUGCAAGCCUGGCCUCCACUCGCUGUCGAAGGAAAGUUCGCUUCUCAGGGAAAUCUGAAGAUCAGAUGUGCCUGAUCCUCUGCUUGAUUUUCUUGGCUAAGAAGAUCCGUCAAAUUUAUGAUAGCCUCUUCCUUUAUCCGUAGAGCUUCAGAAGAAGAAGAUGGGAUUCAAGAAUGCGAUAAAGAAUAGAAAUGGCUUCAGAUGGCCUCUAAAGCAUGAGCAAUCGAAUCAGUAGUUGCUGGGAGAUAUGAUGAAGACAUUGUCAAUGCUUUGAACUAUACAAGUCCUGCAGAAAGAUAAAGGACCAAACUGUUAAAGAAACAGAAACAACGGCGGUUUUCUGUUCUACCGUCGUCUUUUCUCGUCGUCUAUAUUAAGGUAAGAUGGCGGUAGAUUUAUAAUUACCGACGUAGAUUAUUUUGUUAAACGUCGUUAAGUGUAAUACAACCGACGUGGAUUUUAUUUUUAAAUUAUAAAUAGAGUUUUUUUUUCCGAAUUCUUUCAGUUUUAGUUUUCAAUUACAAAGCGUGAUAAAUAGAUUUUUCUUUCCCGAGGAAAUUUAAAAUGAGGGAAAUUAAUGUUCUAGAAUUUGUAAACUAACACGACGCAAUAUUACUAACCCGAGGAAAUUAUAAAUAGAUUUUGCUUUCCCGAAGAAAUUUUAAAUUAAUUCAGUUUGAAACAACGACAGUUUUUUGUUAUGCAGUCGUUUUUAACUAACACGACGCAAUAUUUGUUUUGCGACGUGGAAUCUUUUCAUUUAACGUCGUUAGGUUUAAUAUAACCGCCGUGAAUUUGAAUUUUUAAAUUAUGAAUAGAAUUUUUUUUUCCGUGACCUUUCAGUUUAUUUUUCAAUUACAGUGCGUUAUAAAUAGAGUUUUUUUUCCGGAGGAAAUUUAAAAUGAAGGAAAUUAAUGUUCUGGAAUAUGUAAAGUUUUUUUUUUGGAUGACAGAUUUAAAUAAAAUAAGAAUAUAAAAACAACGACUGUUUUUGUAUUACUGUCGUCGUUUUUCGUCGUCUUAAGUAAGACUCAGACGACGUAAUAUAUUUGUUGAGCGACGUUGAUUUGUUUUUUAAACGUCGUUAGGUAUAAUAUAACCGUCGUUGAAAAUUGUCUCUCUGAUUGCAAAUUUACAACGACGUUAGGUAUAAUAUUUGUAGAUACACAAACGCACACACAUCAUCAACUUCCAAAAAAUUGUCUCUCUGAUUGCAAAUCUGUGUCAUCUGUUAAGAUUAUGAUGUGGAACAGAGUUCCAUCUGGUAAGAUUUCGUAACCCUUGGGAUCUCAGAAAAAUCUGAUUAUGUCGGCGGUUUUCUAUAUAAACCGUCGUGGUUAUUUCAAUUCUUGUCAUUAAGUAGAUCUACCGACGUAGGAUAAGAAAAUCAAAGAAAAAAAUUGUUAACAAAAAUUCUUAUUAAGACGACGGUUUAAAUUAAAGGUACGACGUAUAAAAUGAAUAAAUACGACGUUAAAUUUUAUACGAUUUAAAGAUAACGUCGUAGAACUAUACGAGAAUGACGUCGAUAUAUUUAUAUUUUCCGUCGUUGUACAUUAAUUUAAUACGGCGAUAUUUUGUAUUUUAAAGCCGUGGAUUUGUUUGUAAUUAUACGGCGUCUUAUACGAAAACCUCGUCGUGUUAUUUUAUGAGUAAAAACGGCGGCUUUUAUGGAAAUCGUCGUCUUUACUUUCUACGUCGGUCGAUUCAUAACUUCUGCCGUUCUUUGUUGGCUUUGAUUUUACACUGCGGAAAUCUGUUUCAAAUAGACGUCGGUUGUUUAAUUAGGUACGUCGUUGUUUUUGAACAGCCAUUUGAAUCUCCAUUUUUUAGUUGUCUAAGGUGGUAUUACACGACGGUGUUUUUAGAACCGUAGUCUUUUUAAAAACCACGACUGUUUUCACUUUGACCGUCGUUGUUUUCUGGUUGUCUUUUUCACUUUUUGUAGUAGUGUCUUUUGGCCCUUUCAGGGCUAGGGCCCCAUUCUUCCAAGAAAAUGACAUUUAGGAUUUGGAUUUUGGGGAAUGCUAUGGUGUUAGCAUUUUCACCUCUAUGACGAUGAACGAUAUUAACAGACUUAGUUUCAAUUAGAAGAGUUUCAUAGAAAAUACAAGGCUUAUUCAAUGGAGGAAGAUUAUCCCUUAAAUAUUUUUUACCCAGAAAAUUUGGGUGUUUAUCUAGAUCAUUCAUUUCAAUGAUUGCUAUAGACAUAUUCAUAUAUUCACGGAAUGGAUUUUCAGCAAUCUGCUUCUCCUUACCCUUAUUAUAUGGAGAAGAAGACAUUAGUGGCUUUGGAUCAUUAGGGGAUGACUUGGUAAGAGCAGAAGAGCUUUUACUUGGAGUCAUUUGUCUGGAACUUCUGGUUUGCACCUUGCAAAAAUUCUCGAGUUAAAAAGUCCGGGAGUGUGUUAGUUUCAUCUUUAAUAAAUUCAAUAUCAAAAUCGAAAGCAGAAACAAUUCCUUGCCAUCUUGCAAAAUUUUGUUUAGAUGCUAGAUUUUUAACAUCCUUGAACAAAAUGUCUUUGGCCGCCUUGCAAUCUACUCUUAUAAAAAAUUUCUUGUUUAAAAGAUCACUUUCAAAUUUAGAGACAGCAUGGAUGAUGGCUAACAUUUCUUUCUUAACAGUGGAAUAAUUCUUUUGAGCUGGUUUCCAAACUCCAGAUGUGAACCUAACUAAUUGUUUCGAGUUAUCAACCCUUUGUUUUAAGAUUCCCCCAUACCCUAUUUCUACAAUUUUAAAGGGAACUUAUCAGCAAAGGAUAUUGCUCUAUUAAUCGGAACUAUUAGUCGCUUAUUAAUAUUAUGUCCCAAAAAGCGAACUUUUGAAGAAAAUAGUUUCAUUUUCUUUGCCGAUACCACUAAUCCUGCAUGUUUCACAACUUUCAAGAAAAUAUUCAGAUGUUUAAAGUGAUGUUCCAAAGAAUUAGAAUAGACUAAAACAUCAUCAAUAUAAACAAUGGUGAAAGCAUUGUAAGGAUUAAAUAUAUCAUUCAUAAUAUUUUGAAAUUCAGAAGGGGCAUUUUUCAAUCCAAAAGGUAGAAUGUUCCAUUCAUAAUGUCCAAAAGGGACAUUAAAAGCUGUUUUGUACUUGUCCUUUUCGGCGAUCUGGAUUUGCCAAUAUCCCGAUUUCAUGUCAAAUUUAGAAAAGAUAACUGCCUUAUUUAGUCUGUCCAAAAGAUCUUUCUUAUUAAGUAUCGGAUAUCUAACCCAUUUUAAGGCUUUAUUUAGAGGUUUGUAAUUUAUCACCAAUUUGGGUACUCCUCUUUCUAAUUCAGCUGCGUUUUCAACAUAAAAAGAGAAACAGCUCCAAGGAGAUGAGCUUUUCCUGAUUAACUUCUUAUUUAAUAAAGCUUGUAUUUCAAAUUUACAAAUUUUCAUUAGCCUAGCAUUCAUUUGAAUUGGCCUAGCUUUGGUUGGGAUUUUCUUUUCAUCAAAAUCAGGCUCAUAGGGUAAUUCAAUUAUGUGCCUCUUUCUGUUCCAGAAGGCAUUGGGUAUUUCCGCACAAACUUGGCUUUCGAACAUCUUUUGGAUUUCAGCAAUUUUUUCUUUUAUCUUUUUAUUUUGCAGCUGCUCUUCUAUUUUCUUAUGCUGCAUUUCUUCUUUCAAAUGGCAUAGAUAGUUUUCCUUCCUUUUUAUUUUUUCUUGGAUUUCAUUAAUAUACUUAUGCUUUUGGUUGAGAAAACCUAAAGAUUAUAGGUUGACCUUCUACCUCGGUUCUAAUUCCUUCUUCAGAGACAGAAAAAAGGUAAAGCAUAUUAAUGAAUGGUGUUCCUAAUAUAAGAGACGGGUUUAAACCUUUCAUCAGAACAAAAGGAGUUACAAAACAAAUACCCUGAUUGAGCACAGCAGCGUUAGAUAAUUUAAAUUGAAUUCCCAUUUUUUGGCUAUUAACGGCUGUAUGUAGAACCUGGGUAGUCUUCUUGAAAUACCUAGUGGGUACCACUUCCUCAUUUAUACAGUUAAGAUCGGCCUCUGUAUCUAUUAGCCCUUCAAUUGUAUAUUUAUAGGUUCUAUCAACCACAACAGUUAUCAUCGCAUACCAUUUCUGAGCUAUCACUCUAUCUAUGCUAGUGAUGAUUUUCAUGGUACAAACCUGUUCUUCUUGUAGGGAUUCAUUCACAGGUUCUAUUUUCUCUUGAAAUUCUUUCGUUAGAUUUUCAAAUUCUAAUUGCUCCGAUUUUUCCUCUGUAUCUUUUUCCGAAAAUGGGCUAUAGAGUUCUAGAAUUCUAACCCUAUUUUUUAACUCUCUAAGUUCUUCUUUCACAUCAUGAACUUCGCACUGAAGAUCAUUGAGAGUAGGUUCUUUCUUGUGAAUUAUUCAUCCUGUUCACUAUAGUUUUCAACUGGUUGUCUCACAUUAGUUGUAGCUGUCACUUGGUCCUACUUUAGCUAGUGAGAUAUAACUUUCUAACACCUCUCCCUUUUUCUCUGGAUCCUCUAUUUUGUCAAUUAAGUCUAUUACCAGACUCUCUUCUUUAGUUAAAACACAUAUUUUGAGAUCAUUGAAUUGACAGGUGCACUCAGUUUCACUAUCUGAACUAGUGUCAGUAUCAUAUUCAAAUAAUUCUUCAUUUUUGAGUUGAGCUAGUUCGUUAUCAUUAUCUUGCUCAGAAUCAGAGGAAUUAAGCAUUAUUUGGCAAAGUUGUUGCUUGAGUUCUUUGCUAAUGCUUAAGUUACUGAUUUUAUCUUUCAUUUUACAUUCGGAUUUAUAGUGUCCGACUUUUUCACAUUUGUAGCAUGUUGGGACCGCACCUUUCUUUCCUUUACUAGCCUUCUUACUAGUUUUUCCUGCGUAUUUCCUUUUUUUAAAGGUCCUAUACGGUUUCUUAGGCUCAGACUUAGACUCGUAUUUCUCAUAUUUCUUAGUCCUACGCCCCCCAAAUUUCUUUCCCUUUUUAUGUGGUUUAUGUGAAUAUGAUUUUACUGGUUCAAAACUAAAUUGUUCACAAAAGUCUCCUAAUUCUUUUCUUCCCAAGGUUUUCUGCUUAUCAAGCUGUUUCUUUAGUUUCAUGUCUGUGCAUUUGGGCUAAGUGCCACCAUCCUUUCAAUUGACCAACAAAACUCGCGAUAAUAGCUUCAGCCACCCUUCUAUCUCCAUUUCCUUUUUAUCUUAGAGGCUGUAGCGUACAUCAUCAUAUGUUUCAUUGUAUUAAUGAUCUGAUAUUCUGUCAGACCAUCAAUAUUCCAUUCAACUAUGGAGCUUCCGUCAUAUUGAGCGGAAUUCCACAUUCCAUCUUCCUCAAAUUGUAAAUCUACUGGUGCAGGUCUAGGGUAGUAGUUUUUAGUUUUAGCAGUUUGAGUAAAUCUAUUUUCAGUCAUUAACCUAUUUAUUUCAGGUUGUUCUUGUUUAAACAUUGUUUCAAGGUUAUCUAUUUCCUCCUCAGUGAGAACCGACACUUGAUGACCUUUUCUUUUAUCUGACAAAUUUAACCCUGAUAAUUUUUUGGCCAAGGCGUCAACAAAGUUUUCGUCUUCAGACAAAGUCCUUCCCAUCUUAAAGUUUUUUAUUAUCUAAGGCAGGAGGUGGUUUAAAGAAUGCUUGACUCACUUCCUUAUUUCUUUUAGUUUCUGAGGGUCCUGGUUCUGAUUUCUGUUCCUUCAUUGAAACAGAUGUUUCAAUCCUGGUAACUUGCUUUCCUAAAGAUUGCAAAAAUAGGUUGGUGUAGUUAUUCUGCUGAAUGACCGCACCUAUAUCUUCUUUACUGGCUGUGCAAAAAUUAUUGGCACUAUCUUCAAGGAAAGUAGUUUCUUUGUAGGGAGCUGCAAUUACGUCCUUUUGUUUUAUCACCAUCUCGGGUGGAUGUCUGGCUUUGACUAACUGUCCAUCUUUGGAAGUAUAAGUCAAAAAUGGGCUUCCUAUCAUUUCUAUAUUAUUCAUGUAUUCAUGAAUGUUAUAUUUUUUAGCACACCAAUCUAACCAAGCAAAGAAAAAAUAGUUGAAUUUCUUUUCUUUCAUGAAAGUGGUGUGGGCUUUCCAGAGAUGGUCUUGCCUAUCCUUCCUAAAGGUUGUUUCAAACCAAAUUCUUUUAUCAACAUUUUCAAUACUCAGAUAAUCUCUUUUAAUCUUUUUGUGUUCGAUUUCAAAAGAUUUUAUCAUAUUUAUUUCAAAUUCAACAUCUAAAAAUGUUGGUUCAGGUUGAGGCGGAUUCCUUCUAAAACUUAGGUCUGGAAUGGUUUGUUCGAACCUAUAGGCUGGGCUCUGUAUUUGUUCUUGAGUUCUCCUAAGUCCUGCUAGAACCAUUCUUUCAUGUUCUAGAUCAUAGGCUCUAUCAGGGGAGGUGCUUGAUCUAUGUGGUUCUAGGUUAGAUCUAGAGGGUGCCAAAUCAAUCCUAGUUCUUCUAGCACUGGAGAAUUGUAUAUUUCUACCUCUCCAUCAGCGAAUUGCAAGAUCCGUGUAGGCUCCUGAUUUUCAAGGGGCUUUUUUGGGGCUACUUCAUCCAAAAUCCAUUUUUCUGGUAGAGUUAUAUCACUCCAUUUUAUCAUUUUUGGGACUGCCACGUUUGACUUUUCAAGGUUGGUUUGGAACAAGGUAGUUUCACCUUUACUGUCUAAGUCUUUAGCUUUGGGACAGACAAUGUUCAUAACCUUAUAUGAAACCCUAUAAAUGAUUGCUAGAUUUUGGGAUCUUGGGUCCAUAUCAUAAUCCUGAGUUUGAAUAUUCAACGUUAAGGCUUUUAAGACAUUUAUAUCAGAAAGUGCAACAGAAAAGUUUGGAAAACAGUUAAAAUAUAUCGGGCCUUCCCCUAAGGUUGACCCGACUAUUCCUAACAAAGAAUCCGUGAACUUUCUAAGUCUUCCAUCUCUUACACAUAGCAAGAUUGAAUUGGGCAAUCCUGUUCUGGUAAGUGGUUUCACCGCUAUCUGCACCAAGCCUAUGUGCAAAUAGUUAUAUUUUUUAUCCAGAUGCUGGUUGAUUUGACGCUGAGUAAAUAGCUGGAAACUAUCAUUUUUAUCAAUGACAGAUAUAGUUUUUUCAACAGUUUUUAUUGCAUAAUCAGAUCUAAAAUUGAAAGAUCCUUUAUAGUAGAUAUCAGUGAUGGGUACUCUGGGUAUAUCCCAGUUGCAUAACUCCUUUUCUACUUCUCGCAUGGAUAUUUCUUGAGAGUUUUUCACCCUUAGGGUUUUAUGGCUAGAACUGCUACUAACACCUGCAUCUCCAGAAGAACGAGUAGACAAGAUUCUCCUAAGGCUUGCAAUUUUAAUAGUCUGGGUUUUAUGCUUUCCUUAUGUUCUCCUCCUAAUUCAAGGUUGCUAGUCCCUGCCUAGGUCACUUCAACGCCUUACACCUUUCUAGCAAUGGCCAACGAGCCUAUCCGACAGCUAGACAACUCGAUGACUAGUGAGUAAAGGAAACUUGACAGAAAACCUUCAAACUAACAACUCUUCUAGGGACUUUAGGCUUUGAUACCAGGUACUGGCUGGGCCUCUUAAGAGCAAAUUUUUAAUCAAUUUUUUGCUUUAGUUUAUGCGCGGAAGGUAGUGUAGAGAUGUAGAGAAUAAACAGAAUAAUUAUCAAAAAUUUAAACAUACAAAGCCAAAAGCAGGGAUAAGAAUAUAACGAAAUUAAAAACGAUAUUAACGAUAACAUUAAUAUUUAGCAAACUUACAUAAAAGUAGAAGGGCAGUAGUGCUUAACAAAAGCUUCGCAGAAGCAGCACUUGGAAUAUAAAAACACUCAAGCACUCAAACACUCAAAAGUACAAAGUUUAUUUCUGGAGGCGAUAAUUUUGCGAUAUAUAUAUCCUCUCAUAUAAGUCCAAAUUAUCUUGAUAUUUACCCAUCGCAUUAUGAUAUUUGUCUUUAAAGAAUUAAUUAACAUACAUAUCACCACGCAGAAAAUUGAUUUAUGUCUUCAAGAUGUCUAUAGAGCAUUAUUAAACUAACCCGAAAAUAAAUCUAUAUUUUUAUUCUUAGUGCAAUGUGGAAAUAUCUUUAAAGAAUAGAAUAUUUCACCAAUAUAGCAGAGCGGCUAUACCCAACAAAUAGAAAAUUCAAUACUCUAACCGAGCGGCUAUACUCUAUAAAUAGAAAAUUUUUAAAUGUACAACUGCAUGGCUAUACGCUUUAAAUAGAAAUUUCAAAAUUAUAGCCGCCCGGCUAUACUAGUUAGAAAUUUUCCAACAGUAUAGUCGCACGGAUAUACAAAAUUGCUUUUCUCAUCCAACGAAGUAGUUUUUCAUUCUUAUUUUUUUCGUAAUGGGGCGGGUCAGGGAACUAAUUCUGCAAUGAAGGCUGGUAUGGGCCAAUGGCGGAUUGAAGACCGGCAUAUUCUGAAUAUGGGCACCAAUAUACCGGUCGACUAGUUCUCCAAGCCAGUGGCAGUGGUUGCAGUUGAUUUCCCCCAUUAUCACCUAUUGGACAACCUUUGCCUUUUCUGUGUCUUGGUGUUUCACCAUUUUGGCCAACCAUAGUCUCCAGUACCUCGGCCAUACUUAAUUCCAGUCACCUUAAAUGUAACCGAAAAUACUUGCUCGAACUCAUUCAUUUUGGCCCGCCCUAGUUGACUCCCAUUUAUUUGUCUGCUAUUCUAGAUCUAGUCAUUAUCAAUCACCAUAAUAAAGCUCCACUCUUGUAGUUUCAGUUUCACCUGUGCCUUUGAUUAUUUAGAACAAUUUAGACUUUAAUGAUAUGGUCACGGUUACAGCACAAAAGACAAAUACCAAAAGCGGCCCUCGUGAAGAAGGGUAUGGUCAUUGGUCACCCUCAGUUUCACCUGUGCCUUCUCAUCACUUUCAUUCUCGCCUCCUCAUCACUCUCUGUCGUCUGUGGUGCUCAGGAGCACCACCACCACAACGGCAUUAUCAGCCAUGGAGCUCUCUCCGACACCGAAGCCCUCUACAUCAAGCAGCGCCAGCUUCUCUACUACGGGGACGAGUUCGGCGACCGAGGCGACCUAGUCACGGUCGACCACCAUCUCUGGUUUUUGAGAACCAGAGAAUCAGAAAUGCUUACAUGGCUUUACAAGCUUGGAAGCAAGCCAUUCUCUCCGACCCGCUUAAUCUCACGGGUAAUUGGGUCGGAUCUAAUGUCUGCAACUGUAUUCAAUUUAAUCAACUGUAGGAUUCAUUUACAAGGCGAGUGGAAGGAGUCAUCAAUUUUGAAUUAACAAGUUUCUACUUUAACGUAUAACAACUAUGUUCAUAUUUAUUGGCUGGAUAACUUGUUAUAUUCAGCCAAUUACUUGGAUAACGUAUGCACUUAAGGUGCAAGUGCUUUGACAUUUGUGCCACAUAGAAUUACAUUCCUUUUUAAAUAUUUUAUGAUAUAAUUUUUUUUUUAUUUUUAAAAUUUUGAAAUCAUUUUUUGGUCCAAUGUUACCCCUUAUGACUUGAAUUGGGUAAUAGUCAUUUAUGUCAUAUUGCCUACUACCUAUUGCAUAGGUAUAUAUAUAUAUAUAUAUUUUUUUUUUUUCAUAUUUUCGACAAUGUGUCAUAGUAUUUUAUGUACCUUUUUUUAAUAGGUAACAUAUAAUUUUAUUUUGUCUAUUUUUGUAUCUGACUUAUGGGUAGUCUUCUAAUUUAUGUUCCUAACUUAUAGAUAACACGAUUUAUCACUAAAUAUUUUUCGUUGCUAAUAAUAACACUAUUUACUUGUAUGUCAUGUACAUAAUUUAAUAUGGGUGCUUGUCUGAUCGAUUGGUAUAAUAUGUGGGUCUUUACUUUUUAUUAAUUAAAUCGUAUUUUAUCCAUAUAUUAGGAAUAUUAUCAAAGAAAGAAUUUAAAUUUUAAAUUAUGAAAUUCAAUUACAAGGAAAUAAUGCAUUAAAUUUAGAUUUUCAAUGUGGUUUCCUUAUUUGCCUCAAAGGGUAAAAUUGACACAACAAAAAAAAGUAAUAAAUGUCAAAGGACUUACGUCUAAAACCAAAAACGCGAGCACUAAACCCAAUGAUAGCUAAUCGUUUUGGGCCUAGAUCUAAGAAGCCCUUUUAUUUAUUAUCUAACAUCGUUGCAUGCCAUUGAUAGUGUGCCUAUGGAUGAGGAAGAGAAAGUUGUGCUUGACUGAUGAUUGACGGAAACUUUCGCAAGUAAAUCCUCGAUGCUACUGGUUGAAGGCCCUUUGAUGUUAAAGUUAGCUUAAGGGGAUGAGCGCAAGCUAUCGACAAUGCAAGGGCAUAAGUGUCAAGUAGCAAGUCUUACCCUGUAUCUAGGGUAAGGAGUUAUAUAUAUAGGGAAUUCUGGGUUUUUUUGGGUGCUUAGUUUCGAUGUGGGACUCGUGGGAGUGCCUUCCAAGGCUAACACGCGUCCCAGCAAAUAUCCUAGCGAUGAACUCAAGAACAUCCUGCAAGAUGCCUUCUAAGGCGUAGAAUUUGGCAAGGCAUGCCGAACACACUUACCGGUCGUGGGCCGAUCAGUGAACAAUUGGCGAAUGGAGCUAGAAGCGUCUGCCGUUUGUAGGAUUAGACCUACCAGGAUGGGUUACAGGGCCAUGUUGUGCGUAGAAUCGGUCGUGGGUGCCGAAAAGACCUACCGAUUAGUACUACUGGGCUUGCCAGGGCGGGCCAUGGAGCCUUCCUUCACGUGUCAUGGCAUGAGAUGCGGGUCAGGUAUGAUACAAACAAACUUAAAUUAAUUAAACCCAUCAUGCAAUGCAUUCCCUUUCAAUUUUUUGUGAUAAACUCAUAGAUAAUUGACUAAAUAAACAUCAUCCAAAGUUUCAAUAAAAAUUACCAAGUUUUUUUUACAAUUUCCGUAGUUUUUAUUCAAUUUUUAUCGAUAUCGAUAAUAUCCCGAUAUUUCCAUCAAAAUUUCCGUGUUUUUGAACUAUCGAUAUUUUUAAUACCAUCAAUAUUUUAUACCUUGGCUGUAGGCAUUGAUUAUCAAACUAAUUAUCAGGGGACCAGUUGUUGGAUGACACUUGGGCCAGAUUAGAAGUGCAUUAAAUGUUUCCUUUAGUAAUUCUUGGAAACCUGUGCAAGCUAGAUUGCUUAUAGAGGCGAUCUGUGGUGGAUUUUCCAGUUGUUUUUUAUUUUCUUAUGCUUGAUUUAAUCAAGAAGUGUGAAGGAGUUAUUAUCUAACAUCGUUGCAUGCCAUUGACUAUGGAUGAGGAAGAUAAAGUUGUGCUUGACUGAUGAUUGACGGAAACUUUCGCAAGUAAUCCUCUCUAGCAUUGCUCGUGCCGGAAGUGUAAUUGAGGAGCUGUAUGGGUUUGGUGUUGUGUGAUGAGUAUAUUAAGGCGUAUCAAGGGUAUUUUUGGUAGUUAAAUAGGAUGUACUUAGUUAAUUUUAUAUUUUAAUUUAAAUAUUUGGGUGUACUUAGAUCAUAAGGUGUACUCAGUUAAUUUUAGAAUUCGUUUAACCACACUAUAUUAUUAUUAAUAGUUUUCUAUCAAAACAAACCCUUAAGGUCCUUAACUAUUGGCUUGCAGCCACAUAUAAUUACUGUGGUGACCUUCUCGAAUCAUCAAUUUUUAUUCAUUUAAGUUGUUGAUCAACUGCUGCAGGCAAGUUAUUCUCCUGAACUCGAGUCCCAUCAAGAGCGGGUCAAGGGGGUGAGUAAUUGUCUCAAUUCCACACGUAAACAAACAAAGGCUCACAAAACUCUCCAAAAUAUACGCAUUAAUUCUUUGCUUCUUUUCCCUUUAUAAGAAGAAGAAAGCCGUCUAAUUCAUCAUCACCAACACAAGCAAACUCAACAUCAACAAUGUCGACAAAGUCUAGCAUUACCGUCCUUGCCUUUGCCUUUUGUUUCUUGUCCCUCCUCAGUUUCGCUUACUCCAACACCACCGACGACAAAAUCUCUACCUCACCGGCCUGGUCUACUGUGACAACUGCCAAUUGAAGUCUAUGACCGAGAUGAGUAAGAUGAUAAGAUUUGAAUAUGAGAUUUAUGCAUGCAUGCAUGCACAUUGCCCAUUGAUCAGGUGCACAUCUUUUUAUCUUUUACUUUACUAAUUCUUAAUUAAGAUUCAAUUUAGGACCUAUUUAAAGAGAAGAAAAAUACGAUUUAAAAUAUAUCUUAUAACCUAAUAAUCUCCUAAUCAAAAUAUUAAACUUUUAAAAUGUCACAUAUCAAUUUAGCCCUUAAUUAUACUAAGCUUAAAUUCCAUGGUCCAUACUAGUUUGAUUUUUAUUUUUUAUUUUGGUGUGAAAAUUUGGUAUUUUCUUUAAAAUAAUGUGCUUGAUAGCGUGAAAGUAGCAAAUAAAUAAUGAUGUGUUCAAAUUGGAUUUGAACACACAUCACAACCCAUAUCAUCAUUAAGGCCCUAAAAAUUAAAUCAUUAUGUGCUUGGUUAAUACGUUAAGUAGUUUAUGAAGUGAUUAAGAUCAAAGAGGAUCCAUGACUUGUAAUGGAUCACUUGUUCAUUUACUUAAAAAUAAAUAAAUAAAUAAAUAAAAGCAAAGGACCCACUAGUGUAGUGGUUUGGAGUAUUUACUCCCUUAGGUAAGGUCCUGGGUUCGAGUCCUAGCAUCCGUGUUGUGUGUGUGAGUUUAAUAUGCUAUCGCCCCUUUCAAUAGGAAAGGACCUCAAAAAAAAAAAAAAUAAAUAAAUAAAUAAACUCGCAAUACCGACUCCAUUCGUAAUUCCAUCAAUUACGCGACCAAAACUUCGUCGCUCAAAGUCUUGCGCGACGAAAAACAAUUCGUAGCGCAAAGUCACUUCGCGCGACAAACUUUUGCGCGACGACAAUACAUCGUCGCUCAAAGUCUUGCGCGACCAAAUUUUGCUCGACGAAAAAAAUUCGUCGCGCAAAGUCACUUCGCGAGACAAACUUUUGCGCGACAACAAUACAUCGUCGCUCAAAGUGACUUUGCGCGACGAAACAAUGAACUUCGUCGCGCAAAGUCCUUAUAAAAAUAAAAUAUAUAUAUUUUAAAAUCUUUGCAUGACGUAAUCCAAAUAUUUCGUCGCCUAAACUAAUUUAUUUUUGUUUUUUAUUUUGUAUGCAUAACACUUAAGAAAUUAAACAGUAUAUAUAUUUAUUAAGUAGCUUUAAAUUUAUUAUUUUAGAUCAGAUCGGAUUUUUGUUAGAAAAAUAUAUUAUUGUUGUUCAGAUUGGGUUUUUGUUAGAAAAUAUAUAUUUUAAAUUGACGAUCGAAUUAGUUCAUUGUAUUCAUAUAUGGUCAAGGAGUGUAGCUAUAAAAAGCAUCAAAAUUGGAGUUAAAAUAACCGUUAAAUCGUGAUUUUUCAUUAUAACCGUCGAAAAGUUUUGUCCCAUUACUUGAUCUCUGAAUGUUUAUUUUUUCUGAUUUUUGGCGUAUAUGAUCUCGAAGUAUAAACAAACAAGUUUGACGGUUGGAUCGUUGAAACUAGUUUUGGUGAAUGCAUAUGCCAUCAAAACAAUAUAUUCACUAACAGUUAAGAGUUUAUUUAUACGUUCGUUAAAUAUAACAUAAGAUUUUGUGGUAUCCACUAGUGUAAAUAUUUUAAAUUGAAGAUCAAAUUCAGUCGUUGUAUUCACAUAGGGUCAAGGAGUGUAGCUGUAAAAAAUCAUCAAAAUCGGAGUUAAAAUAACCGUUAAAUCGUGAUUUUUCAUUAUAACCGUCGAAAAGUUUUGUCCCAUUACUUGAUCUCUGAAUGUUUAUUUUUUCCGAUUUUUGGCGUAUAUGAUCUCGAAGUAUAAACAAACAAGUUUGACGAUUGGAUCAUUGAAACUAGUUUUGGUGAAUGCAUAUGCCAUCAAAACAAUAUAUUCACUAACAAUUAAGAGGUUAUUUAUACGUUCGUUAGAUAUAACAUAAGAUUUUGUGGUAUCCACUAGUGUAAAUAUUUUAAAUUGAAGAUCAAAUUCAAUCAUUGUAUUCAUAUAUGGUCAAGGAGUGUAGCUGUAAAAAAAAUCAUCAAAAUCGGAGUUAAAAUAACCGUUAAAUCGUAAUUUUUCAUUUAUAACCAUCGAAAAGUUUUGUCUCGUUACUAGAUCUCUGAAUGUUUGUUUUUUGCGAUUUUUGGGGUAUACGAUCUUGAAGUAUAUACAAAUAAGUCUGACGGUUGGAUCGUUGAAUGGUGUGUGUAUAUAUAUUUAUUUAUUAAGUAGCUUUAAAUUUAUUUAUUUUGUACGUAUAACACUUAAGAAAUUGAAUAGUAUAUAUAUUUAUUAAGCAGCUUUAACCUUAUUUAUAUUUUAAAUUGUAAAAUAAAAUAAUUUUAUUUUUAUUAUUCCUAACAAUUAUUUUUAUAAAUAUUGUGUUACGAACCAAUUUUUCGUCUCUCAAAAGUUUGCGCAACCAACAGUUUGUCGCGCAAAACUCUAAAAAUUUGGACGGGUACCAAAAAUGGGACGCGGGAUUUUUAAAAAAAAUAAAAAAAAUUUAGACUUUGUGCGACCAAUAUUUUUUGUCGCUCAAAACUUUGCGCGACCAAUAUAUAUUUUUCGUCUCUCAAAAAUUUGGGCAGGUACCAAAAAUGGGAAGCGGGAAUUUUUUUAGACUUUGCGCGACUAGUAUGUAUUUUUCGUCGUGCAAAAAUUUAAAAAUUUUGGCAGGUACCAAAAAUGGGACGCGGGGAUUUUUAUUUUUUUAAAUAAUUUUUUUAGACUUUGCGCGACCAAUAUUCCUAUAUUCGUCGCGCAAAAAUUUAAAAAUUUUGGCGGGUACCGAAAAUGGGACGCGGGGAUUUUUAUUUUUUUAAAUAAUUUUUUUAGACUUUGCGCGACCAAUAUUCCUAUAUUCGUCGCGCAAAAAUUUAAAAAUUUUGGCGGGUACCGAAAAUGGGACGCGGGGAUUUUUAUUUUUUUAAAUAAUUUUUUUAGACUUUGCGCGACCAAUAUUCCUAUAUUCGUCGCGCAAAAAAUUAAAAAUUUUGGCUGGUACCAAAAAUGGGACGCGGGGAUUUUUAUUUUUUUAAAUAAUUUUUUUAGACUUUGCGCGACCAAUAUUCCUAUAUUCGUCGCGCAAAAAUUUAAAAAUUUUGGCGGGUACCAAAAAUGGGACGCGGGGAUUUUUAUUUUUUUAAAAUAUUUUUUUUAGACUUUGCGCGACCAAUAUUCCUAUAUUCGUCGCGCAAAAAUUUAAAAAUUUUGGGGGGUACCAAAAAUGGGACGCGGGGAUUUUUAUUUUUUUAAAAUAAUUUUUUUAGACUUUGCGCGACCAAUAUUCCUAUAUUCGUCGCGCAAAAAUUUAAAAAUUUUGGCGGGUACCAAAAAUGGGACGCGGGGAUUUUUAUUUUUUUUAAAUAAUUUUUUUAGACUUUGCGCGACCAAUAUUCUUAUAUUCGUCGCGCAAAACUUUGCGCGACCAAUAUGUUUCGUCGGGCAAAAGUUUGCGCGAUCAAUAUUCCAAUAUUUUUCGUCGCACAAACCUUUGCGCGACCAACAAUAUUUUUCGUCGCGCAAAGUGAUACGGUUUUUAAAACCGAAAUAACUCAUCCACCAUUUUCUCAAUGCCUUUCUCUACUCUUACCUCUCCUUUCUCUUUCCCUCUCCCCAAAUCCCACCAUUUCUCUCACUUACUCCUCUCACUUAAUCUCUCAUCUCUCUCUCACUCACUCUCUCAUCUCUCUCACUCACUCUCUCAUCUCUCUAUCACUAUCUUCUCUAAUUCUCUCACACUCACUUCUCCCUCUCAUUCUCAUUCACUCUCAAUCUUGCCAAAAGGUAUAUUCUCUCCAAAUUUUAAAUUUUUUUCAUUAAUAUGUGUUUUUGGAGUUAAUUUUGAGUUUGUGUGGGUUUUAGGGUUGAGUAAAGGGGAGGGAUUGGAGUUUGGGUUGGAUUUGUGGUAUAACAAUUUUAGGGGAGAUUAUGCCUUCUUUUUUUUUUUUUUUGUGGUUAUUUGACCAUAUUUAUUUUUUUUGUAGGGAAUCAUCGAGACUUUGACGGCUAAAGUUGAGGAUUAGGAAGCUAUCAAAACAUCUCCUCUGCCACUACCACCACAAUACGCUUGUAUUAGGGUUUUAUUAUUGUACUUUGUUAAUUUAUGUGAACAUUUUGAAUAUUAUAUAUAUAUAUAUAUUUAUUGGAUAAUUUAAUCACUAUUUUUCAUAUGUAAUUUUAUUUUGAAUAUGUCAAUUUAAAUUAAAGUAAUUAAAAAAAUCAUACAAUUAAAUUAAAUUUAAAAAGUAAAAAUUAAUAUCAAUUUAAAUUAAAGUAAUUUUAAAAAGAAAUCAUACAAUUAAAUUAAAUUUAAAACGUAAAAAUUUGAAAAAAUUCAUAUAAAUAAAUUCAUAUUAAAGAAAUAAUAAAACAAAAAGUCAAAAAUCUUGCGCGACAAAAUAUUUCGUAGCGCAAACUAUUAAAUUAGUUUAUUUUAAAUUAAAAACAUUUAAAACAAAAAAUAUUUCGUCGCGCAAAACUCAAAAAAUUUGGGCAGGUACCAAAAAUUGGACGUGGGAAUUUUUUAGUUUUUUAAAAUUUUUUUUAGACUUUGCGCGACCAAUGUUUUUCGUCGCGCAAAACUUUGAGCGACCAAUAUAUUUCGUCGCGCAAAUCUUUGCGCGACUAAUGUAUUUCGUCGUGCACAACUUUGCGCUACCAAUAUUUUUCGUCGUGCAAAGUCACUUUGCGCGACCAAUCUUUUUCGUCGCGCAAAGUCGCUUUGUGCGACCAAUAUUUUUUCGUCGCGCAAAGUCACUUUGCGUGACCAAUGAAAAAAUUCGUCGCGCAAAGUCUUUCUUCACGAUCUUUGCGCGACGGAUUCUGCGCGACGAAGUUUCUGUCUCGCUGAAAUUUGUGCGACUACAAUGUAUUUUGCGCGACGAAAUUCUCUUCGUCGCGCAAAGUGUAAAAUGUAGUAGUGGUACCAGUUGUGCUUAUUUACUUUUUACCAUGGCUCUCACAAAUCAAGAGACCUCUGCUUAGCUUUUCUUUUUAUUUUGGCCAUUUGCUCCUCUCAAGCAUCAUCUCACUAAAUUUAUGAUGAGACUGGAUGGCUCAAUUUGGGCCAGUUUUUUUUAUAAGGAUGCUGAGGAGAAGGAGAGGCGAUUCAUGAUAGUCAAGGCCAACUUGGAGUUCAUUAAGGCUUUUAACAAACACAUGAGCCAGAACUACUUCACACUAAGCUUAAAUGAAUUUGCAGACCUAACCAAUGAGGAGUUUCGGGAAAUUCGUAAUGGUUACACGAAACGAUCCUCCAAAUCGAUCAUGUCCAAUUCCACGAAAGCUACAUGUUUUAGAUAUUGAAAUGUCACUGAUGUGCCACCUUCAGUGGAUUGGAGAGAAAAGGGUGCAGUGACACCUAUCAAGGACCCAGGCAAAUGUGGUAAGUAUUAAACAAGUUGUUAAAUGAUGACGCAUUCACUGUUUCACAACCUAACAUGUUAUUGAAUGAUGAGGCAUGUUAUUUCAAUUUUAUAGGGUGUUGUUGGGCAUUCUCAGCAGUGGCAGCUACAAAAGGGGUUAACAUGCAAGCUCAAAGCCAGAAACUUAAUCUCACUAUCAGAGCAAGAGCUUGUGGAUUAUGACACUACAGGUCAAGAUCAUGGCUGUGAAGGUGGUCUAAUGGAUGACGCUUUUCAAUUCAUCCACGCAACAAAGGCUGACAACUGAAGCUAAUCACUUCUACCAGGGUUACAACACUCAGAAGGCUGCAUCCCAAACAGUGUCCAUAAAUGGGUACGAGGAUGUGCCUAAAAACAACCAAAAUGCUAUGUUGCAAGCCGUCGCUAACCAACCAAUUUCUUUUGGAAUUCAGACUAUGAUCUGAAUUAUAACUUGCCUUCUACAAAUACUACUGAAUGAGUAAAGGUUUCAGAGAGAUUUUCAGAAUGAGAGAGAGCUCGAGGAAAGAGCAAAAAGAUGAAUUCUAUUCUUCUUCUCACGCACACACUGUGCACUAAUAACAGUUGGAACAGGAAAUUCCCAAAUUACAUCAUUCAAAUCUAGCCAUCCAUUCUUCUAUUCUAAGAUUACAUCUUAGCUGUCCACUUGGAUUGUAAUCCAAGGGCUCACAUUUAAAUCUGUAAAUUUGAACUAAAUACAACAUCAUAUCAGCAAAAACAGUUAUAUUUCAACACUCCCUUCUAAGUGUUUAGCUGAGAUUACUCCAAGCUUUCUUCUCAGGUAUUCAAACCAAUCUCUUGCUAGAGCCUUAAUAAAGAUGUCUGCAGUCUGCUCUUCAAUUUUGCAACAUAGUAAAUCAAUCUCUCCAUUUUGCAAAGCAUCUCGGAUGAAGUGAAACCUCCUGUUUAUAUGCCUUGUCUUAUGAUGAUGCACAUGAUUCUUGGUUAUGGCAAUAGCAGAGGUAUUAUCACAUAGAAUUGUAGUAGCACCCACAUGUUCUUCACCAAUGUCUGAGAGAAUGAAGCGCAACCAGAUUGCUUGUGCAGUAGCUUCUGCUGCACUAACAUACUCUACUUCUACUGUAGACAGAGCUACACUACUUUGCUUGACUGAAGCCUAGGAAAACAUACCUGAUCCAAGAUUAAAUGCAAAUCCAGAGGUGCUUCUCAUGUCAUCCUCGCUCCCCGACCAAUCACUGUCACAGUAGCCAAUGAGCCUUGCUUCUUUGCCUUUCUCAUAUGCUAUGCCACAAUCAAAUGUGCCUUGAAUGUACCUCAAUACCCUUUUGGCAGUUCCCAUAUGUUUUCUAGUAGGUCCAUGCAUAAAUCUAGCCAAAAGACUUGCUGCAACCAUGAUGUCUGGCCUUGUUGCAGUCAAGUACAACAGAUUUCCAACUAUCUGCCUAUAAACCCCUUCAUCAGCUUGUUCACUUCCAUCUUCCUUGGAUAGCUUUUCAUUCAUUGCAAGAGGAGUAGCCACUGCUUUAUAGUCCUUGAAGCCAAAUUUGUCUAGCAAUGUCUUAGCAUAUUUCUUCUGGUGCAAGAAAAUGUAAGACUCAGUUUGUAUCACUCCUAACCCCAAGAAAUGGUGAAGCAAACCAAGAUCAGUCAUUUCAUACUGCAUCACCAUUUCAGUUUUGAACUCCAUGAUCAAGGCUUUUGAGCUUCCAGUGUAGAUAAUAUCAUCUACAUAUAAAGAAACAAUAAUAAUACUACUUUCUGCAGCCUUUACAUAUACUGUUGCCUCACUAGGACUUCUCUGGAAACUUGCCUUGAUGAAGUAAGAAUUGAUUUCUUCAUACCAAGCUCUUGGAGCUUGUUUAAGUCCAUAUAAUGCCUUCUUGAGUCUAUACACUCUAUCCUCUUUGUUCUUAAUCAUAAAACCAGGAGGUUGAUCCACAUACACCUCUUCAUGCAAUACUCCAUUCAAGAAUGCAGACUUCACAUCUAACUGAAAUAGUUUCCACCCCUUUUGUGCAGGCAAUGCCACCAAUGUUCUAAUGGUAUCCAGCCUAGCAACAGGUGCAAAUGUUUCAUUGAAAUCUAUCCCUGGCUUUUGAGAAUAGCCCUUUGCCACUAGCUGAGCCUUGUCUUUUUGAACUGUACCAUCUAAAUUCAGCUUGGUUUUAUAAAUCCAUUUGACACCAAUUACUGGUUUAUCAGUUAGUCUAUCAACCAACUCCCAAGUUUUGUUCUUCUCUAUAAUUUCUAUCUCAUUCUCCAUUGCUUUCUGCCAUGCUUCAUCCUUAACAGCCUCUUCAAAGGUCUCAGGCUUGAUAAUACACAAGUUACAUCUUGCAUACACUUCUGCAAUACUCUUGUAUUUCAGAGGUGUGUGAUCAACAUCCAGUGAUCCUGAGUCAGGAUCAACAUGCCCCUCUUCUGAAAUCUCUUCUUGACUCAGGCUAGAAUCAUUAGAUUCCUCUUCUCUCUCAGUGAGUGUCUCAUUAAGAGGUAUUGAGAUAUCACAUUCCUUUUGUGCAUUUCAAUCCCAAAUAGAUGCCUCAUUGAAUAUCACAUCCCUGGAAAUAAUCAUUUUUUUCAGAUGCAAUGUUAUAUAGUCUGAAGCCUUUUCACAGUUGCCAUACCCUUCUGCCUUUGUUGAUUUGGAACAUGUGCAUAGCACAAAGAACCAAACACUCUUAAAUGCUUAACUCCUAGCUUUCUACCACUAUAAGCUUCAAAUGGAGUUUUCUUGUCUAAGGCCUUAGUUGGACAUCUAUUCUGGACAUACACUGCAGUGUUUACUGCCUUAGCCCAAAAUUCUAGAGGCAUCUUCUUCUCAAUCAUCAUGCAUUUAGCCAUCUCCAUAAUUGUUCUGUUCUUUUGUUCUGCUAUUCCGUUUUGCUAUGGUGAAUAUGUCACAGUUAGCUGCCUUUCCAUUCCCAUGUCUUCACAAAAUUUGUUGAAUUCAUUGGAAGUAUAUUCGCCCCCCUGUCACAUCUUAUUUUCUUCAAUUUAUAUCCACUUUGCAGCUCAACAGUGGCUUUAAAUUUCUUAAAGACAUUAAGGACUUUUGAUUUGUAUCUCAAGAAAUAGAUCCAACACAUACGAGUACAAUCGUCUAUGAAGGUAAGAAAAUAUCUAUUUCCAGCUUUGGUAAUAGUCUGCAUUGGUCCACAUACAUUUGUGUGUACCAACUCGAGUGGGAUUCUGGCAAUCCAAGUACCAUUCCCUGAUCUUGCAGCAGCUUCAAACUGGUGAAGUUUAAAUGCCCCAUUCUUCUAUGCCAAACUAAAGUUGAUGACUCUACAUUUGCUCUUAAUGCAACCUGUAAAGUUGUGUGAAGCUUCAAAGGAAAACUUAUGUCGCCUUUCAGUUGCACCUUAGCAACUAGAUUUGAUAAAGAACAAUCAUCAUAAAUUUCAACCUUAUUAGCUCCAAAAAUCAGAACAUAUCCAUGCUUCAUCAUUUGCCCUACACUGAGCAAAUUCUUCUUGAGACCAGCAACUAACAGCACUCCUUUGACAUACCUUCUUCCCAUCUUAGUGUCAACAACAAGAUUUAAUUUCCUUUUCCAACAACAUUAACCAAUUGUCCUGUCCCCAUUGCAACUUUUGCAAUUAUAUUCCUAUCAACAUCAACUAAUACAUCUUCUCUCCCAGUCAUAUGGUUGCUAGAUCCGCUAUCCAAAUACCAUAUUGUUCACCCGUUUUGUGUUUGUUCCUGUGAUGGUAGGGCAAAAUUCCCCAUUGCCUUGAAAAUCAUUGACUGGUCAACAAGUCAACUUUCUUUAGUGUGCGAGCGUGCCACUACUAGCAAUGAGAAAUCCUAGAAGACUUUAAAAAUAGAUAACUUGCACCCCAAGUUACUGAUUUCUAAUCAAACAGUUGUGAAUUUGGGUGAGGAAUAUCUCCCAAGUAAGUUCUUUUCUUGCCUCAGACUGGUGAGUACUUCAUAAUUUUUCACAGUAUAAAACUGGUAGUUCUGGCCAGAAUAAAUGAUGAGAAAAUGAACUGUUUUGAGGUAGAAUUGCCUUUUACAAAACUCAAAAGGGAAAAGCCAACUCUAGAAAGACAAAAAGAAGGCUGGACUUCCAUUUCUGCAUGGAUAGAUGCUUCUGAUCCAGGCUGGACUAGACUAUCAGCAACUUCAACUGUCAAGUUUCAGCUGUAAAUCGAUACCAACGUUCGAGUUUGGCAGAGCUUUAAUCUAUUUCAAGCCCUGGAAGGCUUUUUGAACGGACAGAAUUACGGCCUAUUCAGUCUGAAGGGUGCAGAAGUGGCUGGACUCAAGGAUUAUUGAGCUGGAACUGCAUUGUGAUACUUGUUCUACUUGAUCAGGGUUCUCCAUAAAUUUGUUGAGGUUUUCAUUUUUGUGAAAACCCAAGCUCUGCUUGUUUUGGCUUUUGCUGAACCAAAUUUGUAACAAGAGAAAUCUCAUUUUAAAUGACUUUUCUCUAAGUCUGAAAUUGAUUUGUAGUUGGCUUCUUUCUUCUUGAAAUUGAUUUGUAGUUGGCUUCUUUCUUCUGGCUCAAUGAGCUUUUGGUUGCUUCAGUUUGUUUGAAGGUUCUUUGAGAUCAAGUGAUCAUUUUGAGUUUUUGUCUUUUGACUGAUUUUUUGGUUGUUUGAUUGAUUGUCUGAUCUUUUGCUCUGUUCACCCUCUCCUAUAUUUAUAAGAGAUGCUUUGUAGUGGUGCUUCUAAUUCUUUUAAUAAUGGGCGGAAAAAUUUCUCAAAAGAUCUUUCAUUUUUAAAUGCAAAGAAAAAGGGUUUUUAUCAAUUCUGGCAGAUAAGCUUUCUAUAGUCAGUUCCUAAGGCAGUCACUUCCCUGUAUUUCUUGAAAAAGAAACCUAACCCUUCUUCCAAUUUAACUGCUCUUUGUAAGAGUUCAAACUGUGAUGGUUUAGUUUUGAUCUUCCAGAUGAACAACUCCCUGCUUCCCACUUAUCUUUUUAGAAAAUAUGGCCUGCUUAUCCCUUGGAAAUGAUAUCUAACGAAUUUUUUUGGAUAUAGAAAAGGAUUCUGAUCUUUUAGCCCCAAAGUUUCAGGGAAGUCUCUCUGCUAAUGACCUGCUUUCAUUAAUUACCAAUCUACUCUCUUGUGACAGUUGAAAUUGUUGACUUUUUAAAGUCAGGUAUUCACGUGGGCUCUGAGAAUAGACUUUCCAAAAAUCAGCUGAUCUUAUACUCCGUGUUUUGAGAUAAAUGGUGAGUACUUAGAUGCUGGGCCCAAUCCAAUUCUUUUUUAUCUACUUUAGUGGUCAAUUGCCACUUAAUUUGGCCUUCUUUUUUUUUUUUUACAACUUUGCCAUUUCGUAAAAGACGUGGGCCUUUCUUCUUUUUUAAUUAUGCCAAGCCCAGUUUGAGUUGAGCUAUGGGCUGAUUUCUUUCUUUUCUUCCUUUUCGAAGCCCAAGUUUAUUGUCGUGGUUUCGAUAGAUCACGGGCUGGGCUUUUUUGAAUUUUGGGCCCUCGAUUCCUGUUUAUUUUGCAAAGCCCAGACUGCUUGGGCCCUGUGGCUUUAUUCUGGGCUCUAUAGUGUUGGGCUAGGUGCACAGGAUUUUGGCCCCAACACAUACAUCAUCACAUCCUUUUACACUAGCAGAACCUUUAUUACUAGCAUAAAACAUGGUUGGUGUGGAUUCGGUCUGAGUAGCAUAGUUGAGCUGUUGUGCUGGUUUCUUGCUAUAGCAAUCUUUUGCAAUAUGACCAAAUUUGUCACAGUUGUAACAUUUUGGUUUUCCCUUAAACCGAAAAUCACCAAAAUGUAGUUCGCCACAAUGUUUGCAGGGGUUUCUGGCUCCAUCAGUUGAUAUAUUAUCCCACUUUUUGCCUUUUGUCCUCCAAUUCCUUUGAUCCCUAAAACCACUUUGACUUCCACUGUAAUUUUUUGAUUGGGAUUCACACAAAGACUAGCAAAUGCUUUCUCAGUCUUAUCUCCAAAGUGCCUAUCUAGCCAUAAUUCAAAACUCUUCAAAGAGGUUACCACUUCUUGUACCUCAAUUUCAUCCAAAUCCUUAGAAUGCUCAAUAACAGAACAGAUUGAAUCAUAAGCUGAUGGCAAACUGAUUAGUAAUUUUUGAACAAUCCUUGCUCUAGCUAAAUCCUUUCCAUAGCUCCUCAUUUGGUUUAUCAGAUCAAACGGUUUGGUAAGAUAAGCAGAAAGGGACUCAUCAUCUCUGAUUCUUGUAUAUUCAAAUUCUCUACAUAGACCUUGCAAUUUAACACUUCUAACCUGUUUAUCACCAUGGAAUUCCUUCAUCAAGAUAUCCCAAGCUCCCUCAAAGGUUUCUUCAUGAGAGAAUCGAGGGAAGAUCUCAUCAGACGCUGCUCCUUGAAUAAGACCCAGAGCUUUAGCAUUCUUCAUGAGUAGCUCAGUGAGAGUCAUCUUCCAAGCACCACUCGAUUCUUCCUUUUCUUUCUUCUUUGCAUCAGAUUCUCCAGCUCCCUUCGAAUUUGAGCACUCUAUUCCCUUCUCAACCAAUUCCCAAAGCCCAUGAGAUUUGAAAAUGGUUUUCAUUCUUAUGCUCCAAUUUUCGUAGUUAUCACCGCCAAAGAUCGGCACUCUCAGCUCACCACCUCCAUACCCUGCCAUGUUAGACACAAAUCGCGAAACCACUUUUCCAAAUUUCAGCUAGUUUUCUUCACAGAUUUAAUCGCCCAAAGUUAAACAAUAGAACCUGGCUCUGAGGCCAUGUUAGAAUUCAAACUAUGAUCUGAAUUAUAACUUGCAUUCUACAAAUGCUACUGAAUGAGUAAAGGUUUCAGAGAGAUUUUUAGAAUGAGAGAGAGCUUGAGGAAGGAGCAAAAAGAUGAAUUCUAUUCUUCUUCUCUCGCACACACUCUGCACUAAUAACAGCUGGAACAGGAAAUUCCCAAAUUAUAUCAUCCAAAUCUAGCCAUCCAUUCUUCUAUUCUAAGAUUACAUCUUAGCUGUCCACUUGGACUGUAAUCCAAGCGCUCACAUUUAAAUCUGUAAAUUUAAACUAAAUACAACAUCAUAUCAGCUAAAACACUUAUAUUUCAACAUUUCGGUUGCCAUUGACGCAAGUGGCUGUACAUUCCAGUUUUAUUCAAGUGGUGUGUUCACUGUGGUAUAAACUUAGAUCAUGGUGUUACCGCAGUUGGAUACGGGACUAGGACUAGUAGUGAUGGGACUAAAUACUGGCUGGUGAAGAAUUUUUAGGGCACAUGGUUGGGGGAGGAUGGAUAUGUGACGAUGCAAAGGGGCAUUCCUGCCAAGGAAGGACUCUGUGGCAUUGCUAUGGAAGCUUCUUAUCCAACCGCAUGAUUAAUUAAAAUGCAUAUAUGUCAUAAUAUAGUGUGGUGUAUAAAAUAUGUAUAAUUGAAUAAUAUAGAAAGACGCUAGCUAUGAGCUGCUAUCCUUCCACUUUGAAAUCCAUGCCUCAAAACAUAGAAACAAUUAACCCAUGACGUGGAUUUGCUCUUAAAAUCUCACUCAAUGAAUUAGCAGCUAUAGCUAUGAGGUUGACAUGUUUUCAUUACCAUUGCAAGGUUAAAUCAAGUUAGAUUAAGGGUGCAUAUUUUUGCUCACCAUCAUUCUUAAUAUUUGACAUGUGUCUAUGGGUAUAACCAUAUAGUUCUAUAAAUAUAUAACUAUGAUUAUGUCAAUGAACACGUGUCAAGUGUUAAAAUGGGUAGUGAGAGUACACAUUUGGUUAAAGUGGUGAGUAAAUAUAUUCCCUUAGAGUAAUCACAUGAUCAUGUCACUGAUCCUACAAGGUAAAACUGUGAAACGACGUCAUUACACUUGUUCGGAGGUGGCAUGGAUUGGAAACACGUAAUUAACCAUAUAUAUAACAUCAAUUUACAACUUAAUUAUACUUAUUCUUAAAGCCAUUUCUGAUCGGACAUUUUUGGAGAAAUUAAUUUCUCAGGCAAGUAAAUGGCAGCAGAAGAGGACCGGAAAAUUUAGGUGCCAGUAGAAGAGAAAAACUCUCUCGCACGUACCUGGUUUAUGGAAGUUUGCUGUAACAGGAGAGCUAGAUAAAACUUAAUUUGAAAAAUUCUAGGAUACGUAACUAGAGCUUACAAGGUGGUGUUGUUGACUGGCUACAACUUCAAAUACAAACCGUUGAGCUAGCUUGCUGUGCGCAGUAUAUAAAGAUUAUUUAGGACUAGCUAGGCUCAUAAUUAAUAUAUACAUAUAUAUAUAAUUACUUUAUAUUUUUAAAGAGGGGGAAGUACAAUAUUAUGAUGAAGAGAUGAGUCUUUUUGCCAAUUAAAAUGCACCAUUUAUAUAUUCUGUAUCCAGAUUACCUUUUGCAUGAUCUUGCCAUGAACAUCCAAAAAUGCACCAAUCUAGUUAAAAUUCAAAACAAAUUUAAAGAUUUUUACAUCGUAGUUAAAGGAAAUUCAUUGUUCCUAUAACUUGUGCUUCCUAUACACACACAAAUUCCAUGAAUCAAUUGACAAUGUGAUAUUAAUAUUACCAUAUAACAUUUUCAACAUUUUCAUCUCGUCCUAGCAUUCAAGUAAAGAAAAGAAUACACGUAUACUUGGAUUGUUGAUGUCUAACUUUGACUCAACGGAUUAAGAUCGUAAAAACGACACAUUCACAUCAUGACACACACUCAAGUCAGGCUACGUCCAUAAUAUACAAUUAGUGAACUGAAUUACAUGAAUCUACAAGUACGGGAUAUAAAAGCUACAAGCCCUACAUGCUACAAUAUCUGUCCUAUUUUUGGGUCAACUGUUCCUUAUUCUCUUUGAUAGUACAAUCGAGUUUACAUGUUAGGAUCCUAACGGGGAUAUUAAAUGCUGAAAAGGAAAUAAUCAAUUCCCAAUAAGCCCUUAAGAUCGUCUAACCAAGAUACAAGCCUCAUAUAUAUCUUAACAAAUCUUUCUAGUUCUUAAAGGUUAUAGCAUCCAUCUCUCUCUCUCUCUCUCUCUCUCUCUCUCUCUCUCUCUCUCUCUCUCUCUCUCUCUCUCUCUCUAUAUAUAUAUAUAUAUAUAUAUCCUCUCAUAUAAGUCCAAAUUAUCAUGAUAUUUGUCUUUAAAGAAUUAAUUAACAUACUUAUCACCGCGCAGAAAAUUAAUUUAUGUCUUCAAGAUGUCUAUAGAGCAUUAUUAAACUAAUCCUAAAAUAAAUAAAUAUUUUUAUUCUUAGUGCAAUGUGGAAAUAUCUUUAAAGAAUAGAAUAUUUCACCAAUAUAGAAGAGCGGCUAUACUCAACAAAUAUAAAUUUUCAAUAGUCUAGCCGAGUGGCUGUACUCUAUAAAUAUAAAUUUUUUAACAGUACAACCGCAUGGCUAUACUCUUUAAAUAGAAAUUUCAAAAUUAUAGCCGUCCGGCUAUACUAGUUAAAUAGAAUUUUUCCAACAGUAUAGUCGCACGGAUAUACAAAAUCGCUUUUCUCAUUCAACGAAGUAGUUUUUCAUUUUUAUUUUUUCUGUAACGGGGCGGGUCAGGGAACCAGUUCCUUAAUAAAGGCUGGUAUGGGCCAAUGGCGGAUUGAAGACCGACAUAUUCUGAAUAUGGGCACCAAUAUACCGGUCGACUAGUUCUCCUAGCCAGUGGCAGUGGUUGCGGUUGAUUUCCCCCAUGAUCACCUAUUGGACAACCUUUGCCUUUUCUGUUCUUGGUGUUUCACCAUUUUGGCCAACCAUAGUCUCUAGUACCUCGGCCAUACUUAAUUCCAGUCACCUUAAAUGUAACCCAAAAUACUUGGUCGAACUCAUUCAUUUUUGCCCGCCUUAGGUGGCUUUUGGCAGCGCUUAAUUUUUUUUAAAAGCAACUUUAAUACAAAUUUGGCAUGAGUUGGGUGUUUGGUAAACCCAAAAAAACACGCUUAUUUUAAAAACACCCAUCAUAAAAAGCAAAAACUCAACGUCAGGUAUAUGGAGCUUUCAAAAGCUGUUUAAAAAAAGAGCUGGUUUUCUUGUUAAUGAAAGUUUCAUUAUCCCUAUAGUACCCCUAAGUAUUUCACAAAAUGACAACGUUUGACCCUCUCACAAAAUAGAUCUCGCGACCUUCACACUUUCUGACCUCACUCUCAGACUGCUCUUCUCACUAUUCUUCUUCUUCCUCCCCCUGCAUCUCAAAACUCCAUCUCAAUCAAGGACUUUAAUUGCCAACAACAAUCAGCUACUUAUCAGUGAGUUCAUCUUCCCAUUACAUUUAUGAUUUUUGGGUUUAUAUAUGUUAUGAAAUUAGGUUUUUCAUUUGGUUCUAUGCAAUUGGGGGCUUUGUGUUCUUGAGGCUUUAAGGGGAAAAUACGGGAGAGACAGAGAGAGAGUUUUGCUGCAAGUUUUGUACUGGGUUUGUCUCUCCUUGCUCUUUGACAAGGAGAGAUUUCUCCCUAGCUUGGUUCAAUUGGCCUUUGGGUCAGAUACUUCUCUCUCUGUUUCUAUUUCUCUGAAACAUGUCUGUCCUGGAUGCUUUUUUUCUAUAGAUUACACAACCAUCAUUGUUCAUAGAUUUACUCAUUGUAUAGUUUGGUACAGUUCCAAAAUAUCAAGAACAAAACCCGUUAUGCUAAUCUGGUUCUUUAUAUACAUAAAUAUAAAUAUAAAUAAAUAUAUAUAUAUAUAUAUACAGUCCCCUUCUAUUGAGAGAUCUCUCAAAUAAUUUUAUUUGAGGGACGCCCUUAGGGUACCCUACAAUUUUCUUUCCAAUGAUCCAAACCAUCUAUUUUUUAGGUCUUCAUUCAUAAAUCAUCCUUACAAAAAAUUAGAUAAAUCGGAAACCGUUUUGACAUCCAAUUGUAUCUUACAAAAUCAAUGAACACGUUCCUUCAAGAAAGUACUAAAAUUUCAAUAACUCAAAUGAGUGGUCAAAUGAUAUCAUAUUCGAGUAAUUUUUUUGUAGAGAUGAUCUUUGAAUGAAUAUCUACAAAAUAGACUGUUUGGAUUAGUUAAAUACAAUUCGGAGUGGGGCCUAUAAGGAGUGUCCCUCAAAUACUUAUUUGAGGGAUCCCUCAAUGGAAACUCUCUGUAUAUAUAUAUAUAUAUAUAUAUAUAUAUAUAUGAUUGCAACCCAAGUCCCCAAGUCAGGUCCGUGUUGAUUUUUCCAUUGUCCUAACCUUGUUGUCUUCAAGCUCAAACAUAAUUCCUUUGGACUUUAGUUUUAGUUCUCUUUUAGUUAGAAGACAAGAAAAGAGUGAAGAAGCCAUUAGCUCCAGAUCUGGGGCUUCUGUUUUCUCAAGAAUUUUUUUAAAAAAAAAAAAGAUCCUAUUAUGUGAAACUGCUGUUCCAUCUAAGUUGUCAUCCAUUAUUGUGUUAGAAGAUUUUUGGUAAACAAAGCUUUUAUUUUUUAGUGGUCAUAGUUUCAAGUUCUUCCUUAUUAUUAUUUUUCAGUGUCGGUGGACUUUAUUAUUGUGUUAGAAGAUUUUUGAUUGGGUAAUGGUUUGAAGUUCUUCCUUCUAUUUAUAUUUUUUUGUGUUGGUGGGCUUUAUCAAAAGUGAUUGUAGCAUGCUGGUCAUUGUGGUGGGGAACUCAUAAACUGACAUAUGGUUGAAAUAUAAAAAUUUUGUAAAUUGGUAUGAAAUUGCAUUCUCAGUAAAUUAUGGGAAUGCAAUAUCAUCUUGCCUUAGAACAUAUGAUAGAAACAAAACAUUUUAACCACAACACAGACUUAAGAGAUUCAAUAAACUGUUCCCUAGUAAGCUGGAAAUAUUGGCUAAGACUUUAUGUUAUCUUUGUCUCCUCUUGGCAGAAUAGGCUUGCUAGUUCCUCAAGUAAUAUAUGUUAAAGAUUAGGAAAAUUAUAUAGUUCUUGUUCUUAGGUCAAUUGUGAAGGUGAUCAGUUUAUUUUCAUGUGUGGAUUCUUUUCGUUCUUGGUUUUCUUUCAUGAAUCAUUAGGAAUACUCUAUGCUUGGACUCUUUGUCCCUUGUUGAGAAUGAGAAGUGGGUUUAAGGAAGUUUUGUUGGGAGCCAUCAUCAUUUUUAAACAUAUAGCAUAUAGUGGAUAAUAUAGAUGAAUAUUCAUACCUGUGGGAAAAGGAAAGUUUGUUAUUUUUAUGCUUUUAGUAUAAUGUAUAUCUUGGGACAAUUAUUUGCUAUUAUCUAUUUCUCAUACUCAACACAUAUUGCUUUAGUAAGGAUGGGAAAGAAUGUGAGAAGUUCAUCAAAAGCUCCAGCGACAUGGAAUAACCAUAAUAUAUCCAUAUUCUGUGAUUUGUGCAUCAAGGAGAUAUGCCUAAUUAUCCAUUCAACAAGCAAGUGAAGAUAGUCAUUGCUACAAUGACACUUCAUAAUUAUAUAAGGAGGCAUGCCCAACGUGAUAGACAUUUUGAUGCUUCAAAUGAUAUCUUAAGUGAAGAGAUAGGUGAGGAUGUUGAUGUACAACAAGAAGUUCAUAGUCUUAAUGACAAUGGAACACAAGAGAUGGAAGCAUUGAGAAAUAGCAUCGCUACAAGUUUCAUGAAUGCAUCUAAUUAGCUUCUUUUAUAUUGUAGUGAUCCAUUUUGGCAUGUUAAAAUUGAACAAUUUUUGUAUAUUUGUUAUGCUAACCCUCUCCGAAGCCCUCAAAACACAUUGUUAUUAUUAAUAUAACAAUAUUUAGAACUACUUUUGUUACAAUAUUAAUUUAUAAUUUAUGGUAAUAUAUGUGUGCUAAUUGUAGAUUACAAAUUUUGAUAAAUUAAAAAUGUGUAAAUUAAAAAAGAAAACAAAUUUAUGUAGUGAAGUUUGUUUUCUUUUUUUUAAAGUAGAAAAAGAAUGAAGAAAAAAAGAAACCGUUUCAUCAUCAUGUCCUUUUCGUUCAUUAUACAUACUAAAAGCACUUCUGAUAAAAAUUUACCGAACACUUCGACUACUCACAGCCUUUUUUCAUAUACAGUUUACCAAACGCCUAGCUGUUUUUUUUUCAUAGCUGAUUAUUUUCGCAGCACAGCAGAAACAGUUUUUUUUUAAAGCACAACAAUGCCAAACUAGCCCUUAGUUGACUCCCAUUUAUUUUUCUGCUAUUCUAGAUCUAGUCAUUAUCAAUCACCAUAAUAAAGCUCCACUUCUUGUAGUUUCAGUUUCACCUGUGCCUUUGAUUAUUUAGAACAAUUUAGACUUUAAUGAUAUGGUCACGGUUACAGCACAAAAGACAAAUACCAAAAGCGGCCCUCGUGAAGAAGGGUAUGGUCAUUGGUCACCCUCAGUUUCACUUGUGCCUUCUCAUCACCUUCGCUCUCGCCUCCUCAUCACUCUCUGUCGUCUGUGGUGCGCAGGAGCACCACCACCACAACAACAUUAUCAGCCAUGGAGCUCUCUCCGACACCGAAGCCCUCUACAUCAAGCAGCGCCAGCUCCUCUACUACGGGGACGAGUUCGGCGACCGAGACGAGCUAGUCACGGUCGACCCAUCUCUGGUUUUCGAGAACCAGAGAAUCAGAAAUGCUUACAUGGCUUUACAAGCUUGGAAGCAAGCCAUUCUCUCCGACCCGCUUAAUCUCACGGGUAAUUGGGUCGGAUCUAAUGUCUGCAACUGUAUUCAAUUUAAUCAACUGUAGGAUUCAUUUACAAGGCGAGUGGAAGGAGUCAUCAAUUUUGAAUUAACAAGUUUCUACUGUAACGUAUAACAACUAUGUUCAUAUUUAUUGGCUGGAUAAGUUGUUAUAUUCAGCCAAUUACUAGGAUAAUGUAUGCACUUAAGAUCCAAGUCCUUUCACUUUUGUGCCACAUAGAAUUACAUUCCUUUUUUAAUAUUUUAUGAUAUAAUUUUUUAUAUUUUUUAUUUUGAAAUCAUUUUUUUGUCCAAUGUCACCCCUUAUGACUUGAAUCGGGUAAUAGUCAUUUAUGUCAUAUUGCCUGUCACCAAUUGCGUAGGUAUAUAUAUGUUUUUUCAUAUUUUUGACAAUGUGUCAUUGUAUUUUAUGUACCUUUUUUUAAUAGGUAACAUGCAAUUUUAUGUUGUCUAUUUUUGUAUCUGACUUAUAGGUAGUCUUCUAAUUUAUGUUCCUAACUUAUAGAUAACGCGAUUUAUCAUUAAGCAUUUUUCGUUGAUAAUAAUAACACUAUUUACAUGUAUGUUAGGUACAUAAUUUAAUGUGCUUGUCUGAUCGAUUGGUAUAAUAUAUGGGUCUUUACUUUUUAUUAAUUAAAUUGUAUUUUAUCCAUAUAUUAGGAAUAUUAUCAAAGAAAGAAUUCAAAUUUUAAAUUAUGAAAUUCAAUUAUAAGGAAAUAAUGCAUUAAAUUUAGAUUUUCAAUGUGGUUUCCUUAUUUACCUCAAAGGGUAAAAUUGACACAACAAAAAAAGUAAUAAAUGUCAAAGAACCGAUAUCUAAAACAAAAAACGCGAGGACUAAACCCAAUGACAGCUCUUGACAGUGUGCCUAUGGAUGAGGAAGAGAAAGUUGUGCUUGACUGAUGAUUGACGAAAACUUUCGCAAGCAAAACCUCUCUAGCAUUGCUCGUGCAAUUGAGGAGCUGUAUGGGUUUGGUGUUGUGUGAUAGAGUGUAUUAAGGUGUAUCAUGAGUAUUUUUGGUAGUUAAAUAGGGUGUACUUAGUUAAUUUUACAUUUUAAUUUAAAUAUUAAAGUGUACUUAGAUCAUAGGAUGCACCCAAUUAAUUCUAGAAUAUUCGUUUAACCACACUCUAUUAUUAUUAACAGUUUUCUAUCAAAACAAAUCCAACCUUAAGGUCCUUAACUAUUGCCUUGCAACCAUAUAUAAUUAUUGUGGUGACCUUCUCGAAUCAUCAAUUUUUAUUCAUUUAAGUUGUUGGUCAACUGUUGCAGUCAAGUUAUUCUCCUGAACUCGAGUCCCAUCAAGAAUGGGUCAAGGAGGUGAGUAAUUGUCUCACUUCCACAUGUAAACAAACAAAGGCCUCACAAAACUCUCCAAAGAAUACGCAUUCUUUGCUUCUUUUCCCUUUAUAAGAAGAAGAAAGCCCUGUCUAAUUCAUCAUCAGCAAUACAUAGAAUAGAACCAACACUAGCAAACUCAACAUCAACAAUGUCGACAAACUCUAGCACUACUGUCCUUGCCUUUGCCUUUUGUUUCUUGUCCCUCCUCAGAUUGGCUUACUCCAACACCACUGACGACAAAAUCUACCUCACCGGCCUGGUCUACUGUGACAACUGCCAAUUGAAGUCUAUGACCGAGAUCAGUAAGAUGAUUCCAGGUACGUAACGUUAAUAAGUAGGUAACAAACUACAUAAAUGUGGAUUAUAAGAUUUGAAUAUGAGAUUUAUGCAUGCAUGCAUGCACAUUGCCCAUUGAUCAGGUGCAAGGGUGCGAUUGGAGUGUAGGGAGGGCGGGAACAUAAAAUCCAGACGAGAGGGCGAAACCAACCCGCUUGGAAUGUACGUGUUUGUGUUGGAAAAAUCUAAGGAGCCUUUGGAUGAUUGUCAAGUGACAGUGCUACACAGCCCCGACCCUGAAUGCAAGAUUUCCCACGAGGUCGACCCUAACAACAAAUCGAAAACUGCGCCGGUGGCCACCCGGAAGCUCAACCUUUUGGAGGGAGACAGCGUCGUUUUCAUCGGACCAAGCCACCGCGUUUCCUACCCUCUUGGUUUGGUCGUUGAGAAAGCUCGUCCGGAGUGCGAGCAGUUCGCCAAAGCACGCAAGCAUUUUCAGAACUAAUUUAAGGAAUUGAAGACUAAAUGAAGGCGAAAACCGUCUGAUAUUAAAUCAAUUUUCAAUUUCAGUGAAUUUUUAUUUUUGAUUGCAAAGAUAGAUAAAUUGUGGUUUAAGAAAUCAACAGUUAUGAUUAUGAUAUAUGCUCGGUUAUGAUUCGUGAAUUCACAACUAGUAUAAACAAAGAAGUGUAAUUAGAAGUGCACUCAAGUAUUAUAUCCGUGAAGAUACUGCCAUGUCGAUUAAUCUAGUCUUUUUAUUUUUUACUUUAUUAAUUCUUAAUUAAGAUUCAAUUUAGGACCUAUUUAAAGAGAAGAAAAAUAUGAUUUAAAAUCUAUCUUAUAACCUAAUAAUCUCCUAAUCAAAAUACUAAACUUUUAACAUGUCACCUAUCAAUUUUGCCCUUAAUUAUACUAAGCUUAAAUUCCAUGGUCCAUACUAGUUUGAUUUUUAUUUUUUAUUUUAAUGUGAAAAUUUGGUCUUUUCUUUAAAAUAAUGUGCUAGAUAAGCGUGAAAGUAGCAAAUAAAUAAUGAUGUGUUCACAUUGGAUUUGACACACAUCUCAACCCAUAUCAUCAUUAAGGCCCCAAAAAUUGAAUCAUUAUGUGCCGGUUAAUACGUUAAGUAGUUUAUGAAGUGAUUAAGAUCAAAGGGGAUCCAUGACUUGUAAUGGAUCACUUGUUCAUUUCCUUAAAAAAAUAAUUAAAUAAAUAAACUCGCAAUACCGACUCCAUUCGUAAUUCCAUCAAUUACUCAUCUAUCAAAAAAAUUAGUUAGUUCAGCUAAUCUUCUUAUACUGUUAGUAAAGGAUAAUGUGAAAUUAGCAAAAAAAUAAUGAUUAACGGCCCAAAACAUUGAAUUAUUGUGUGCCUAAGUUAGAAAAUCUUCGAAGGCACGUAGAAAGACAGGUCCCCCAUCUAGUAUACUAUGAGGAAAAGGACGGCUCACAAGAAGUUUAUGUACUAUAAAAUCCCAGAUGCUCAUUGAAUGUCUUGUGCCCAUCCAAGAUUAAAUAUAUUUCCAUAGAAUACGUACCAAUUGUGCUUAUUUACUUUUUACCAUGGCUCUCACAAAUCGAGGCCAAUACCUCUACGUAGAUUUUCUUUUCAUUUUGGCCAUUUGCUCCUCUCAAGCAUCGUCUCGCCAAAUUUAUGAUGAGAAAACCAUGUUGGCGAGACAUGAAGACUAGAUGGCUCAAUUUGGGCCAGUUUUUUUUAUAAGGAUGCAGAGGAGAAAGAGAGGUGAUUCGUGAUAUUAUCAAGGCCAACUUGGAGUUCAUUGAGGCUUUGAACAAGCACAUGGGUCAGAACUACUUCACUCUAGACUAAGCUUAAAUGAAUUUGCAGACCUAACCAAUGAGGAGUUUCGGGAAAUUCGUAAUGGUUACAUGAAACGAUCCUCCAAAUUGAUCAUGUCCAAUUCCACGAAAGCUACAAGUUUUGGAUAUUGAAAUAUCACUGAAGUGCCACCUUCAGUGGAUUGGAGAGAAAAGGGUGCAGUGACGCCUAUCAAGGACCAAGGCAAAUGUGGUAAGUAUUAAACAAGUUGUUAAAUGAUGACGCAUUCACUGUUUCACAACAUAACAUGUUCUUGAAUGAUGAGGCAUGUUAUUUCAAUUUUAUAGGGUGUUGUUGGGUGUUCUCAGCAGCGGCAGCGACAGAAGGGGUUAACCAGCUCAAAACCGGAAACUUAAUCUCACUAUCAGAGCAAGAGCUUGUGGAUUGUGACACUACAGGUCAAGAUCAUGGCUGUGAAGGUGGUCUAAUGGAUGACGCUUUCCAAUUCAUCCAACGCAAGAAAGGCUGACAACUGAAGCUAAUUGCCCCUACCAGGGUGUAAAUGGAACUAGUUGCAACACUCAGAAGGCUGCAUCCCAAACAGUGUCCAUAAACGGCUACGAGAAUGUGCCUAAAAACAACAAAAAUGCUAUGUUGCAAGCCGUCGCUAACCAACCAAUUUCGGUUGCCAUUGACACAAGUGGUUGUACAUUCCAGUUUUAUUCAAGUGGUGUGUUCACUGGAACAUGUGGUAUAAACUUAGAUCAUGGUGCGGGACUAGUAGUGAUGGGACUCUAAAUACUGGCUGGGGAGGAAUUCUUGGGGCACGGUGGGCGGAGAGUGGAUAUGUGACGAUGCAAAUGGGCAUUCCUGCCAAGGAAGGACUCUGUGGCAUUGCUAUUGAAGCUUCUUAUCCAACCGCAUGAUUAAUUAAAAUACAUAUAUAUGUCUGUAAACACGAAUUUCCUGCGACAAAUGAGAAAAAAACACAUAUACAAAAUAAUAUUUGUAUUAAUGAAAUUUAGGGUUACAAUCUCUGUAUUGAAUCCUCUGAUUCGAUCUCCAAAGUGUUUAAAGAAAAUUUGCGAUUGAUAGAAGGGUCGUAGAGACUUGAUCUUGAUCAAACGGGUAGCACAAGGCUUGUUUGGUGUUUGGAUUUUUCUAGGAUGGAGGAACCGGCACAUAUUUGUUGUGCUUGAUGGCUCUUCCAAAGUGAGGUGAAGAAUGCAGAGAGUUUUCUGUUUCUUCUGAAUGCUUUGUCUGUCUAGGCCCCCUUCUUUCGCCUUGAGGCCUCCUAUUUAUAGGCUCCUACAGGAUGCUUGACCUAAAUAGCUUUCCUUUUUUAGGACCCUGCUUUGUGGAAUUCUGAUUUGAUUUAAAAUCAAUUCCAAUAAUUUGGCAAUUUAACCAAAUUAUCUUUGAUUGAUUGACUUGAUUAAUAUUUGAUUUAAAUCAAAGUCAAUCACAGAAGAUUCUUUCCUUUAAUUUUGUCUUCACUUCGAACUGUUUGAUGCACUUCGUCGGAUGUCAACAUGUAUCACUUUUGACAACUAAUCUGAAUUUGAUGAGUCGUACGCCACAUGAACUAAUUAUGGGCCCCACAAUUUAAUCAACCAAACCCUAAUUAUUUUCUUACUUAGUGAAUUUAAUUCACCAAAAUUUCCAUGUCUACAAUGUCAUAAUAUAGUGUGUUGUAUAAAAUAUGUAUAAUUGAAUAAUACAGAAAGACGCUAGCUAUGAGCUGCUAUCCUUCACUUUGAAAUCCAUGCCUCAGAACAUAGAGACAAUUAACCAUGACGUGGAUUUGCUCUUAAAAUCUCACGCAAUUAAUUAGCAGCUCUAGCUAUGAGGUUGAAAUGUUUUCAAUACCAUUGCAAGGUUAAAUCAAGUUAGAUUAAGGGAGCAUAUUUUUGUUCAUCAUCAUUCUCAAUACUUGACACGUGUCUAUUAGUAUAAUCAUGAUUCCUUAAAUUUAUACAGCAAAGAAUUAACUAUGGUUAUGCCAAUGAACACGUACCAAGUGUUAAGAUGGGGGGUGGAUUGGAUCUAAUGUCUACAACUGUAUUCAAUUUAAUUAACUGUAGGAUUCAUUUACAAGGCGAGUGGAAGGAGUCAUCAAUUUUGAAUUAACAAGUUUCUACUUUAACGUAUAACAACUAUGUUCAUAUUUAUUGGCUGGAUAAGUUGUUAUAUUCAGCCCAUUACUAGGAUAAUGUAUGCACUUAAGAUCCAAGUGCUUUGACUUUUGUGCCACAUAAAAUUACAUUCUUUUUCUAAUAUUUUAUGAUGUAAAUUUUUUAAUUUUUUAAUUUUGAAAUCAUUUUUUGGUCCAAUAUUACCCCUUAUGACUUGAAUUGGGUAAUAGUCAUUUAUGUCAUAUUGCCUAUUACUUGUUGCAUAGGUAUAUAUAUGUCUUUUCAUAUUUUCGACAAUGUGUCAUAGUAUUUUAUGUACCUUUUUUUAAUAGGUAACAUACAAUUUUAUUUUGUCUAUUUUUGUAUUUGACUUAUACGUAGUUUUCUAAUUUAUGUUUCUAACUUAUAGAUAACACGAUUUAUCACUCAGUAUUUUUCGUUGCUAAUAAUAACACUAUUUACCUGUAUGUCAGGUACAUAAUUUAAUGUCGGUGCUUGUCUGAUAGAUUAGUAUAAUAUGUGGGUCUUUACUUUUUAUUAAUUAAAUUGUAUUUUAUCCAUAUAUUAGGAAUAUUAUCAAAGAAAGAAUUUAUAUUUUAAAUUCUGAAAUUCAAUUACAAGGAAAUAAUGCAUUAAAUUUAGAUUUUCAAUGUGGUUUCCUUAUUUACCUCAAAGAGUAAAAUUGACACAACAAAAAGAGUAAUAAAUGUCAAAGGACCUACAUCUAAAACCAAAAAAACGAGGACUAAACCCAAUGGCCGCUAAUCGUUUUGGACCUAGAUCUAAGAAACACUUUUAUUUAUUAUCUAACAUCAUUGCAUGCCAUUGACAGUGUGCCUAUGGAUGAGGAAGAGAAAGUUGUGCUUGACUGAUGAUUGACGGAAACUUCCGCAAGUAAAUCCUCAAUGCUACCAGUUGAAGGCCCUUCGAUGCUAAAGUUAGCUUAAGGGGAUGAGAGCAAGCUAUCGACAAUGCAAGGACAUAAGUGUCAAGUAGCAAGUCUUACCCUGUAUCUGGGGUGAGGAGCUAUAUUUAUAGGGAGUUCUAGGUUUUUUUUGGUACUUAGUUUCGAUGUGGGACUCGUGGGAGUGCCUUCCGAGGCAGAAACGCGUCUCAACAAAUAUCCUAGCGAUGAACUCGAGAACAUCCUACAAGAUGCCUUCUAAGGCGUAGAAUUGGCAAAAGACCCUUAAGGUUGUGCGUAGAAUCGAUCGUGGGUGUCGAAAAGACCUACCGAUUCGUACUAUUGGGCUUGCCAGCAUGGGCCAUGGAGCCUUCUUUAGUGUCAUACCCCUUCCACGUGUCAUGGCAUGAGAUGCGGGUCAGGUUAAAUUAAUUAAACCCAUUAUGCAAUGCAUUUCCUUUCAAUUUUUUGUGAUAAACUAAUAGAUAAUUGACUAAAUAAACAUCCUCCAAAGUUUAAAAAAAAAAAUACCAAGUUUUUCUUACAAUUUCUGUAGUUUUUAUUCAAUUUUUAUCGAUAUCGAUAAUAUCCCUAUAUUUCCAUCGAAAUUUCCGUAUUUUUAAAAUGAGACACACCUAUUUUCAAUUGACUACCUAAUUAGUUAACAAAUUAUGAAAUAAAUAAAUAACAAACCAUACAAUCAUGUUUUGAUUCUAAGAUGCUGACAAGUAUGUAUGUUUUUGGGAAAAUAUAUAUUAGGGAGAAGAUAUUAUUGUACCACAUUAUGAAUCACUUUUCUGAUAGAUAUGAGACCUACUUAUAUUGGUAGGUCAUACCUUUAUUAGAGAGGUGGUACAUUAUGCAAUACAAUGAUGUAGUUUCUCCAACAUUACUUUUAUCUUUAAUCAACAUGUAGAACUGUUUCGAACUUGGAAUUGCUUUCAACAUUGGGCUACGUGGGCAGGAAUUCUAGGCUUGGCUUACAAUUCUCUCAUUCUCCAACCUCUUGGAUUUGCUUGCUUGGAUUACCUUAUUGCUGGCUCAUUUGGCUUCAGUUGAGCCACAUUUAGUGCCAAAUCAAAUCGCAUCUUUGUCAUGCCUUUGGCCUUCGAAUCCACUAUGACCUAUUUUGCUCUUCUUUCAACAGUAGUCAUGUUUGAUCCAACCUUGGCUAAGGUUUGAUUCGGCUUAGCUAAAUUUGCAUUCACCAUGUUGGUCUGGGCAGAUGGGAAAGGGUCCUUGUUGAUUGGACUCUUGUCACCCCCAAUUCGAAAAUAAAGAAUAUUCCUGAAUUAGGGUACGUGAAUUGAAUGAAAUAAAAUAAAAAGACUGAAAAAUUAGUUAAAAUACAUUUUUCUUAUAUAAAAAUAAUAAUAAACUUACAAGUGUACAAGAUAUAAAUCUUUUUUAUUUAUUAUCUAACAUCGUUGCAUGCCAUUGACAGUGUGCCUAUAGAUGAGGAAGAUAAAGUUGUGCUUGACUGAUGAUUGACGGAAACUUUCGCAAGUAAAUCCUCUCUAGCAUAGCUUGUGCCGGAAGUGCAAUUGAGGAGCUAUAUGGGUUUGGUGUUGUCUGAGUGUAUUAAGAUGUAUCAAUGGUAUUUUUGGUAGUUAAAUAGGAUGUACUUAGUUAAUUUUACAUUUUAAUUUAAAUAUUAGGGUGUACUUAAAUCAUAGAGUGUACUCAAUUAAUUUUAGAAUUCGUUUAACCACACUCUAUUAUUAUUAAUAGUUUUCUAUCAAAACAAACCCUUAAGGUCCUUAACUAUUGGCUUGCAGCCACAUAUAAUUACUGUGGUGACCUUCUCGAAUGAUCAAUUUUUAUUCAUUUAAGUUGUUGAUCAACUGCUGCAGGCAAGUUAUUCUCCUGAACUCGAGUCCCAUCAAGAGCGGGUCAAGGGGGUGAGUAAUUGUGUCAAUUCCACAUGUAAACAAACAAAGGCUCACAAACUCUCCAAAAUAUACGCAUUCUUUGCUUCUUUUCCCUUUAUAAGAAGAAGAAAGCCCUGUCUAAUUCAUCAUCAGCAAUACAUAGAAUAGAACCAACACUAGCAAACUCAACAUCAACAAUGUCAAGAAAGUCUAGCACUACCGUCCCUGCCUUUGCCUUUUGUUUCUUGUCGCUCCUCAGUUUCGCUUACUCCAACACCACCAAUGACAAAAUCUACCUAACCGGCCUGGUCUACUGUGACAACUGCCAAUUGAAGUCUAUGACCGAGAUAAGUAAGAUGAUUCCAAGUACGUAACGUUAAUAAGUAGGUAACAAACUACCUAAAUGUCGAUUAUAAGAUUUGAAUAUGAGAUUUAUGCAUGCAUGCAUGCACAUUGCCCAUUGUUCAGGUGCAACGGUGCGAUUGGAGUGUAGGGAGGGGGGAACAUAAAAUCCAGCCAAGAGGCCGAAACCAACCAGCUUGGACUGUACGUGUUUAAGUUGGACAAAUCUAAGGAGCCUGUGGAUAAUUGUUAAGUUGAAAACUGCACCGGUGGCCACCCGGAAGCUCAACCUAUUGGAAGGAGACAGCGUCAAUGUCAUCGCACCAAGCCACCGCGUUGCCUACCCUCUUGGUUUGGUCGUUGAGAAAGCUCAUCCCGAGUGCGAGCAGUUCGCCCAAGCGCGCAAGCAUUUUCAGAACUAAUUUAAGGAAUUGAAGACGAAAACCGUCUGAUAUUAAAUCAAUCUCCAAUUUCAGUGAAUUUUUAUUUUUGAUUGCAAAGAUAUUAAGGCACGUAGAAAGACAGGUACCCCAUCUAGUAUACUAUGAGGAAAAGGACGGCUCACAACAAGUUUAUGUCUAUAAAAUCCCAGAUGCUCAUGAGCCAGAACUACUUCAUUCUAAGCUUAAAUGAAUUUGCAGACCUAACCAAUGAGGAGUUUCGGGAAAUUCGUGAUGGUUACAUGAAACAAUCCUCCAAAUCGAUCAUGUCCAAUUCCACGAAAGCUACAUGUUUUGGAUAUUGAAAUGUCACUGAUGUGCCAUCGUUAGUGGAUUGGAGAGAAAAGGGUGCAGUGACGCCGAUGAAGGACCAAGGCAAAUGUGGCAAGUAUUAAACAAGUUGUUAAAUGAUGACGCAUUCACUGUUUCACAACAUAACAUAUUAUUGAAUGAUGAGGCAUGUUAUUUCAAUUUUAUAGUGUGUUGCUGGGCAUUCUCAGCACUGGCAGCGACAGAAACUUAAUCUCACUAUCAGGUCAAGAUCAUGGCUGUGAAGGUGAUCUAAUGGAUGACGGUUUUCAAUUCAUCCAACGCAACAAAAGGCUGACAACUGAAGUUAAUCACUCCCACCAGGGUGUAGAUGGAACUAGUUGCAACACUCAGAAGGCUGCAUCCCAAACAGUGUCCAUAAACGGGUCGAGGAUGUGCCUAAAAACAACCAAAAUGCUAUGUUGCAAGCCGUCGCUAACGAACCAAUUUCGGUUGCCAUUGACGCAAGUGGCUGUACAUUCCAGUUUUAUUCAAGUGGUGUGUACACUGGAACAUGUGGUAUAAACUUAGAUCAUGGUGCGGGACUAGUAGUGAUGGGACUAAAUACUGGCUGGGGAGGAAUUCUUGGGGCACGGUGCGGGGAGAGUGGAUAUGUGACGAUGCAAAGGGGCAUUCCUUCCAAGGAAGGACUCUGUGGCAUUGCUAUUGAACCUUCUUAUCCAACCGCAUGAUUAAUUAAAAUACAUAUAUGUCACACUUUUCUAACCAAAUUGUGAAGUGCCCAUGUAUUUCUUUCUCUGUAUUUUUCUAAUUUUCCUUUUCUCACUAUCAUUGCUACCCUUUCACAUCUUUUAUUGUCGUACUUCGAUUUGUAGUGAUAAAUUGCCGUUCAAAUUUUCUUUGUGUGUAUUUUUAAUAAAUUACAUUUCAUUUUAUUUUUUCCAUGGAUUGAUGUUCAGUAGAUAGUUUUAAUAUAAUAUGUAAAUAAUAUAGUACAAAAAUUAGAGAUUUUGUAUCAAGUAAAAAAUUAGUUUCAUUGUCACCCUAAAGAAAAAUAUAUUUCAAUAUAUAAGGUGCCCCCUAUGUGAAAAUUUUCUGGCUCCGCCACUGUCCAGGUUACCUUUUGCGUGAUCAUACAACAAACAUCCAAAAAUGCACCAAUCUAGUUAAAAUUCAAAACAAAUUUAAAGAUUUUCACAUCUUAGUUAAAGGAAAUUCAUUGUUCCUGUGCUUCCUACGCACACACAAUUUCCAUGAAUCAAUUGACAAUGUGAUAUUAACGUUACCAUAUAACAUUUUCAACAUUAUCAUCUCGUCCUAGCAUUCAAGUAAAGAAAAGAAUACACGUAUACAGAGAUUAUUGAUGUCUAAAUUUGAAUCAACGGAUUAAGACCGUAAAAACGACACAUUCACAUCAUGACACACACUCAAGUCAAGCUACGUCCAUAAUAUACAAUUAGUAAACUGAAUUAUAUGAAUCUACAAGUACGGGAUAUAAAAGCUACAAGCCCUACAUGCUACAAUAUAUGUCCUAUUUUUGGGUCAACUGUUCCUUAUUCUCUUUCAUAGUACAAUCGAGUUUACAUGUUAGGAUCCUAUCGGGGAUAUUAAACGCUGAAAAGGAAAUAAUCAAUUCUCAAUAAGCCCUUAAGAUCGCCUAACCAAGACACAAGCCUCAUAUAUAUUGUGGGAACCGAAUUAAAUUAGAACCCUAGGUCAAAUAAUUCAUUCCAUUUGAGGAUUGUUUGACCUAAUUGGGAAUUAUUCAACCUAAUUGGGAGUUACUCAAUUUAAUUAGGGAUUACCCAAUUAAAUGGAAUGUUACCUAAUUAGGUUGAGAAUUGAUUUGAUUCCUAUCACAAUUCCCAAUUAAAUGAGGAGUUACCUAAUUAAAUUAGGAAUUGAUUUGAUACCUACCACAAUUAGGGAUUUGAUUUACCCUUAUUAAUCAAAUCAAUUCCAAAUUGGGGAGGAAUAAUUUCAUUCCAUCUACGGAAUUAUUCCUCUGAAACCCUAGCCUCCAAGACCACUAUAAAAAGAUGGCCACACACAAGGGUUGAGGUACGUCUGAAAUUUCUACGGAAACUCUGUAGAAAAUUCCUCUCAAACCCUAGCCACCUCCUCUCUCCCUCUCUUUUACAUAAGGCUACGGCCACCCGGUUUACACCAUAAACAUAUCUCCGUACCCUAUUAGCUAUUGUUUUUUAUAUGAUUCAAUUGAACUAAUUUAGGCAUCGGAGGGCCUUUGGCCAGCACCCCCGUGUGUGGUCCUCUUAUUUGUUCUAUUUUGCAGGGAGAAAGAGGCGGCGAAGAAAGAAGGAGAAUCUUUCCAAUCGAAUAUUCUCGUAAGGAAAUUUGCUCCCAUAAAUUGGUGCUUUCAAUGAGAGCACAAGAUAUACUCAAAGUGUGCUCCAAACUUAUUUUCCAAUCCACCGAAGCCUUCCAAACAACCAUGGUUGGAAGCAAGAAGACGAGAGGUAAAACCAUAGCGAUGGCUAAAUCCGCCACGGCCCAAAGCCACUCCACCCACUAUCCCGCGAUCGAUAUGGUGGCAUCACCACCUCUCACCACCGUGCCACCCACCGGACUUGCAGCUGAAACCACCGCACCUGCCACCGCUGCCGAGCAUGGUGGAACCUCCCAUCAAGGUGGGCUCAUUACCACCGCCAACCUAGGACCAAUCUUGGAGAAACUUCAAGCAUUCCCUCCAUUGCCUCCACGCUCGACGCACGCUCCCGCGUACACCUCCAAAGAAACCCUAGCCCGUGUGCGAAAAGCUGGGCCCAUGACUUGACAUCUGCUCUAGCCUGGGCUCGCAUGGAAAUGUACAUCAAAGGUUAGGCCCCUAGGGAGAUUAGCCAAACAACCAUCGCAAAGAGGAUCGUGAAGAAAGAUGCUCAGCUGUCUGCCCGCAGAGGAGCAUUCAUGAAAGGCUAGGUCCCGAGGGAGGUCAACUGGAUAACCCUCACAAUGAGGACCAUGGGGAAAGGCGCUCUGCUGCAAACUCUGAAAGAGUUCAUUCUUGUCGACAAGCUACAGAAAAUCCUUCACAAGCGCAGUCCACACGCCUCCUAGGCAGCGCAGGCUAGAAGGUCGACCCUCGAAAAUCAAUGAGGAAGUCAGUCAGCAUGGCCCAAAUCAUGAAGGUCGCCAACGUGGCCGACCAGCAAUGUGUGCGGAAAACAUUGAGAAGCUUGUAAAUGACCGACUUUGAGACUUGAAGACCGGCGAAAAUUUCGAACAUGCACUACGUAAGGAGAUAGACUAGACAAACUCUACACCUUUCACUGCCGAAAUCGAGCAGGCAGCAACCCCGAAGCGAUUCUCAACGCCUACCUAAAACACUUCAAAAGUGUCAUGAUCCUCCACAAGGCCGACAACACACUAAUGUGCAAGGUGUUUGCGAUGACCUUGCGAGGAGCCGCCCAAGACUAGUUCCACACUCUACAAUCCAGGUGGAUCAGCAGCUUCAAGGAGCUGACUUAGGUAUUCACUAAAGAAUACACCUCUUACUGGACAAUCAAGAAGAACCCUGACCACCUGUACAACCUGCACAAGAAGUCCGACAAAUCCCUUCGAGAUUACAUCAAGAGAUUAAAAGCAUAAAAGGCCAACAUUGUAGGAUGUGACGAUUGAAUUGCGUCCUCUGCUUUCAAGAAAGGCCUUCCGACUGAGCACGAAUUGUACCGCGAGCUGACCAUCACUCCCAGCUAGACUCUGGCAGAGAUCUACGAGGUUGCGGAACUCUAUGAGCUCUGGGAUGAUGAUCGAAUCGCCGCAAAGAAGUCUACUAACCAAGACGAUCAGCCGACUAAGCAGGCAGGCCAAAGAAGCGACGAAUUUAGCAACAAGAAAAAAGACAAGCGUAGGUCGCACCCACAAGGGAACACUACGGCAGGAGAGAACUACAUCAAAUUCACCAUCCCCAUACAUUAAAUCUUAGCCCAAGUGAAGAACGAACCUUGGGUAAGAAGACCACCACCCUUGAAAGGAGAUCCGGACAAGAGGGAUGCUAGCAAAUACUGUGCCUUCCAUGGGACGCACGGGCACACCAUGAACAACUUCUUCGCUUGGAAAGCGCAUCUUGAAGAACUCGUGAGAGAAGGUCACUGCACGAAAUUCAUUGCGAAGCAGGCCAUCCAGCAGAUUGAAGAUCGUGACACCGCCAAGGAACCGCUCUAAAAGGUCAUAAGAAUUAACACAAUCCUAGCCAACUCCGAGGAGUAUGGGCUGACCGGGAAGGAAAAGAAGAAGAAGAUCAAACAAGCCACCGUGAUCUCCCAAAUCUCGACCGACCUUCCACUAGUAAAAGACGAUCCUGUAAUCGGCUUCCAAAAGAAAGAUAUGAUUGGCCUCGACAUGCCACAUAACGAUGCCCUUGUCAUCAGCAUUCAAAUCGCCCAGGCCAUGGUCGAUUGAAUCCAUGCAGAUGAGGGCAGCGCAACCAAUAUCUUGCAACUGGCGGUCAUCCAGCAGAUGGGCUUGGAGGCAAAGAUCAACAAAUCAGCCAGAUCGAUGACCGGCUUUAAUGGUGCAACAACGGUUACCGUGGGCACGAUAGACCUCGACGUCUACUCCCCACCUGUAAUCAGCUUGUAAACAUUCAGGGUCAUUAAUGAGGUCUCACCCUAUAAUGGCAUCAUGGGCAGACCAUGGAUUGGCAAGAUCAACGCCAUGACUUCUGCCACACAUCAGAAAAUUCGAUACCCAAUUCCAAGGGGCAGUGUCAGCCAAAUCAACAGCGAUCAUGCAAUGGCGAGGAAAUGCUCCGCCUAAGGGCUGAAGAAAAGCAAACAAGCACAAUUCCUCCAGGUGAGCCAGGCAGAUCUGAAGGAGGUUGAACAACCGAAUCUUGCUCCCUUAUAGCACUAAAAGCGUCAUGACCAAAUCGAGGACAUCUGUCCAGAGGUCUCUUCUGAAGAAGGAUGGAAACCUGAAGAGGACGUCGAGUUAAUACCCUCGGAUCCUGACCAGCAAGACAAAAAAGUGCAGAUCGGCUCGCGCCUAAGCCCAGACGAGAAGGUGGAGCUGACCACCUUCCUCCAGAACAACAAAGACAUGUUCACAUGGUUGCCGUCAGGUAUGCCUGGCAUCAUCCCGAACAUCAUCUGCCAUCGACUCUACGUCAACCCUACCAGCAAGCUAGUGGCACAUAAAAGACGCAACUUCGCUCCCGAGCGGGUCGCUAUCAUCAAUAGCAGAGAUUGACAAACUGCUAGCUACCAGCUUCAUCGAAGAGGUCUCCUACUCGGAGUGGCUGGCCAACAUUGUUCGGUGGCCAAACAAGAAAAAGGCAAAUGUAUAGUCUAUGUCGAUUACACAGACAUCGACAGAGCAUGCCCUAAAGACAAGUUCCCAUUGCCGAGAAUCGACUAACUCGUGGAUUCCACUUCUGGCAAUCAGCUGCUCAGCUUCAUGGAUGCCUACUCCAGCUAUAACCAAAUCCUAAUGCACGAGGAUAACAAGGCAAAAACCUUUUUCAUCAUCUAGAGAGGAACCUAUUGCUCCCUUUGGACUGAAGAACGCCUGAGCAACCUACCAAAGGCUCGUGAAUAAAAUCUUCAAGGAGCAGAUCAGCAAAACCAUGGAGGUCUAUGUGGACGACAUGCUGGUCAAAGCCCCAAAACGUGCAGAUCACAUCAAAAAUCUCGCUGAGACAUUCAGCCUGCUUCACUAGUAUUGCAUAAAGUUGAACCCGAGUAAAUGCACAUUUUGUGUAUCCUCCGGCCGAUUCUUAUUAUGCCUAGUCACACAACGCGGUAUCCAGGCACACCCACGUCAAAUCAAAGCCAUUCUCGAGAUGAAGUUGCCUUCCACAGUGAACAAAAUACAAAUUCUGACGGGCAGAGCAGUGGCCCUCAACCGAUUCUUCUCAAGAUCAACCGACAAGUGCAGACCAUUCUUCAAAGCUUUGAAGCAAUGUCAAAGAGACAAAUGGGAUGAGGAGUGCGAAGUAGCUUUCCAGAAUCUGAAGAAUUAUCUCACAUCACCUCCCCUGCUCUCAAAGCCAGUCCCCGGUGAGGACUUGUUCGUGCACCUGGCAGUGUCCAACUCAGCUGUCAGCUCAGCUCUCAUCCGAGAAGAGCUAGGGGCCCAACAUCCGAUAUUCUACACGUCAAAAGCUCUCCUCAAUGCAGAGACUUGCUACCCGAAAUUGGUAAAGCUCAUUCUAGCUCUUAUAGUUUCCGCGAGAAAGCUGCAACCCUACUACCAAGCUCAUCAAGUCAUCGUCAUGACCGACUAUCCUUUGAGAUCAAUCCUCUUUGGCCCUGACGCUUCUCAGCGACUUAUGAAGUGGGCUACAGAGCUAAGUCAAUAUGACCUCCUCUAUCGGCCAAAAACUGCAAUAAAAGCCCAGGCUUUAGCUUUAGCAGACUUCGUCGCAGAAUUUACCCCAUCAGAUGAAGAAGAGAAGCUGGUCAACAAAAAGGAAAGUUUGAAAGUAGACGGAACCUCUACUGAACCUAGCCAACCCAGAGACAUGUGGCAAUUGUGUGUAGACGGAGCGUCGAACCAAAAGGGAGUUGGAGCAGAUGUGGACGUCAUAGUUGGAACCAAGGAGCUGAAGAUUGCAUUUUUUGUGGUAGACACAACUUCUACCAUUUACAAUGCAUUGCUUAGCAGGAACUGGUUCCACCAAAGCUUAUGUGUUCCUUCCACUCUGCAUCAGCAAUUGGCCCUUUGGGAUGAAGAAGGUGUCAUAGAGAUAGUAGAGGCUAAUCCAUGGCCAUUUCUACCAUCUGCCAUGUGUUUUGAAGCAAGGUAUUAUCAUGAUGACCUUGGUCCUUUCACAUUCUUCGGAGUCAACCACAACGGCCGCCGCCAUGGUGUCACGACCCAGAGACUCAUUGAAGAUGGCCUAGCCAAUUCUCUAGAGGACUAGAAUAGACCUUUUGUUCUGAACCUCCAGAACUUUGAUGUUUACUACCAAUCAAUAAGAAAAGGAUCGAGCUGCAACAAUCCGAUCCAUUACAAAAAGAUUAUUGAUAUUUUGGGAAGAAAUGAAGCUCUUCAUGCAGAAUCCAACCAUGGCAGAAUUCAUCCAUGAGAGCACUGAAGAACAGGAAGAUAGUUUAUAGGAGGAAGUACUAGAUUUUGCACCAGCAGCACUAGAUGACUCUUUACCGGAAAUGGAAGAUCCGUUACAGGAGAUAAACUUAGGGACAUAAGAGGAUCCAAGACCCACUUUCAUUAGUGUGCUGUUAAAAGAGCCACUCAAGGGUGAAAUCAUUGCCAUGAGAUGCCUGGACUGGAUAGAGAAUUGGUAGAACACAAGUUGCCAAAAGGAUACCUUCCAGUCAAACAGGCCAAAAAAAAAUGUCUAUGGAAACUGAACUGAAAGUUAAAGAAGAGAUAGAAAGACUGGUUAAAGCAGGAUUCAUCAGACCAGCCAUUUAUGCUGAUUGGCUAGCCAAUAUUGUGCCGGUUCUGAAAAGAAAAACAAGGGCAGUUAGGAUCUGUGUGGAUUAUAGGAAUCUGAAUGAAGCAACUCCUAAAGAUGAAUAUCCUAUGCCAAUGGAAAAUCUGCUAGUCGAUGGAGCUGCUCAUAGCCAAAUGCUAUCUUUUAUGGAUGGAAAUGCAGGAUAUAAUCAUAUUAUGGUGGCAGAAGAAGACAUCCACAAGACAGCCUUCAUGUGUCCAAGACAUAUAGGUGCUUUUGAAUACACUGUAAUGCCUUUUGGCUUAAGAAAUGUAGAAGCCACUUAUCAAAGAGCAAUGAAUUCUGUUUUCCACGACAUGAUUGGUCAUUCUUUAGAAGUUUAUAUAGAUGAUGUGGUGAUUAAGUCCCCAGAAGAAGGAGAUCAUGUGUCAAAUCUAAAAAGAGUAUUCCUAAGAGUGAGACAACAUAAGUUGAAAAUGAAUCCCAAGAAGUGUGUUUUUGGAGUUCAAGCAGGAAAUUUCUUAGGUUUCUUGGUCCACCAAAAGGGCAUAGAGAUCGAUAAAAAUAAAGCAAAAUCCAUCAUAGAAGCUCUACCAUCCCGGAACAAGAAAGAACUGCAGAGUCUCCUAGGAAAAAUUAACUUUCUAAAGAGAUUCAUAUCCAAUUAUUCAGGAAAAAUCCAGCAUUUCUCCUCCUUGUUAAGGUUGAAGCAGGAACAAACAUUCAAGUGGGAGGAACAACACCAGCAUGCUUUUGAGGAAAUCAAAUUCUACCUCUCAAAUCCUCCAGUUCUGUCCUCCCCAAAGAGAGGCAUACCACUCAAAUUGUAUGUUUCGGCAUUAGGACUGUCCAUUGGGAGUCUGCUCGUUCAAGAUAACAAGGAAGGGAAGGAACAAGCAGUCUAUUAUCUAAGUAGAACUCUGACAGAAGUAGAAAGGAAAUAUUCUGCAAUUGAAAGACUUUGUCUAGCCUUAUACUUCACUGCUGUAAACCUGAGACACUACAUGCUACCAUUCACCAUCUACAUCAUUGCCAAGACAAACCUAAUUAAAUACAUGUUAACAAGGCCAAUGUUGAGGGGCAGAAUUGGCAAAUGGACUUUGGCUUUGACAAAAUUUGCUUUCAGAUAUGUUCCUUAGAAGGCUGUCAAAGGACAAGCUGUAGCAAAUUUCCUAGCAGAUCAUCCAGGAGAAGAGAUUGAAAACAUGGAUUCUUUGGAUAUAGCAAAUGCAGAUCUGUUGACUAGAGCUCAUACUUGCCUUAACAAUCCCAUCUAUUAUGUUCACCUCACACCUUGGAAGCUGUACUUUGAUGGAUCAAAGACUGAUGUAGCCUCUAGGGCAGGAAUUGUUUUAGAUGAGCCACUAGGGAUCAGACACUAUUAUUCUUUCCAGUUAGAUUUCCAAUGCACCAACAACAUAGCUGAAUAUGAAGCUUUAAUCAUUGGCCUUGAGAUGCUGGUGGAAUUAGGAAUCCAAUCUGUGGAAAUCUUGGGAGAUUCUAUGCUUGUGUUGAAACCGAUUGCUGGAGAAUACAAAUGUCUAAAUCCUUCUCUAGCUAUCUAUCUAGUGGCAGCCAUAAAUCUUCUGACAGAAUUCAGGGAAGCUACUUAGGAACAUAUCCCAAGGGAGGAAAACUUCUCAGCCAAUGAAAUGGCUCAGAUAGCAACAGGGGUUCAAAUGCCUGAAGACUGUGUGCAAAGGAUCAUUAAGGUAGGAAAGAAAAGUUUACCAUCUGUUCUGGCCAGAAGGAUGGAGAUAGAUGUCAAUUCUGCCAUAAUCACUGAAGAUGACUGGAGAAUUCCCAUCAUAAAUUCUUGCAAUAUCCAACCCUGCCUUCUGAGAAAAGAGUCAGAAUCAUGACUUUAAAUUUCCUUAUGUGAAAUGGAGAUUUGGUCCGAAAAGCAAAGAUGAGGUACUUUUGAGGUGCCUGGGAAAGAAAGAAUACAUGAAGGUCAUGGGGGAAACCCAUGAAGGAAUAUGUGGAGCUCAUCAAGGUGGAAGAAAAAUGUGCUGGUUAAUUAGAAGGUAUGGCUACUUCUGGCCAACCAUAAUGAAGGAUUGCAUUGACUAUUCCAAGGGAUGCGAGGCUUGUCAAAAGCAUGGUCCAAUCCAGCGAGCUUAUUCAGUUCCCAUGAAUCCAGUAGUUAAGCCAUGGCCAUUCAGAGGAUGGGCAAUGGAUCUCAUUGGCAAAAUCUAUCCAGCCAAUAGCAAACAACACUGUUUCAUCAUUGUAGCUACAGACUAUUUCACUAAAUGGGUGGAAGCCAAAACUGUUAAAUCCACUACAUCUCAAGAGAUCAUCACCUUCAUAGAAGAACAGAUUAUACAAAGGUUUGGCAUUCCAUAAUCAAUCACAACUGACAAGGGAUCUUCUUUCAUGUCUGGGGAGAUGCUAGAUAUGGCACAAGCUUUCAAAUUUAAGCUACUUCAAUCCACUCCUUAUUAUGCUCAAGCUAAUGGACAGGCAGAAUCAAGUAACAAGGUGAACAUCAACAUUAUCAGGAAAAUGCUUGAGAAAAAUCCAAAGCAAUGGCAUGAGAAGUUAUCAGAAACUCUUUGGGCAUAUAGGACUUCAAAGAGAGAAGCAACUGGCAUGACCCCAUAUGCUCUAACUUAUGGUCAUGAUGCAAUUCUGCUUAUGGAAAUAGUAGUCCAAUCUCUUAGAAUUGCUCACCAACACAAUCUGACUGGAGAAGACUACUCUCAAGCCAUGCUGCUAGAAUUGGAGGGAUUGGAUGCAAAUUGAUACCCUCAACAAACUCUUAGCAGGGAAACAGGCUAUGUCAAGGGCUUACAACAAAAGAGUUAAAAACAAGAGUUUUGAAGAGGGAGAAAUUGUCUAGAAAGCAGUUCUGCCCCUUGGAACACACAUAGUUGGUUAUGGAAAAUGGUCACCUACAUGGGAAGGGCUUUUCAUAAUUAAGCAAAUCCUUGGAUUAGGGGCAUACAGAUUACAGGAUCGAGAUGGAGACAUCCAUGCUACACCUAUCAAUGGCAAUGGUUGAAGAAAUUCUACCCAACUAUGUGGGAUUCACAGGCUGUGCAAACCAAUCCUGGGAUAGAGAGGGAACGAGAUGGAAAUGUUGUUUAAAGUUUUUUUACAGUGUUGUGCUUCUAAAUAUAAUAUGUUAAAAGCAUAUUUUGUCUUCUGUUUUCUUUCGUUUUAUUUAAGCAAGAGAUUGAAAAAGCAAAGUUCCACAAAAUAAAUAGCUUUUAUUAAAUAUAGUCAUUUUCAUGACUAAAGUUUUAUUACAUUCAAAAAUUUAAAAUUAAAACCCUAAUUUCCUAAGGGUUUCUUGCAAAUUGGUCUUCUUGAUCGAAAGUUCCUUUUGGAGCAGCACCCCCUGGUGGAUUGAAGCCUCUGCAAUCUCCAAUGCUGGCAUGGAAGCUGAAACCAUACUCUACACAAGGAAGGUAGCCUUGGUCUUGGAACUCAGUCCAACCCCGAGCCUGUUCUGCACCUCCCUGCAUUCUGCCAACUGCUUUUGAAGCUCUUCAAUCUGCUUCUCCAGCUUAUCUCCAGUGGCCUUAGCUUCCUUGUAUCCUGCAACCAUCUGGUCCUGUUUUGCCUUCAGUUUUGCGUAAUCAACCAAAUUGGCUUCAUAAGUAGCCUUGCAGAACUCAGAGGUUUUGAAAGUGGACUUGAGAUCCUCAUAACAGUCGUGAAGGUUGAGCACAUCUCUAGCCAAACCGAGGCUCAUCUCAAGUAUAGGCUUAGGAGCCAUGUUCUGUCUGUGCAGUAGGUCCAGAUCCUUCAUCAAUUGAUCAACAGCUUCCCUAUUCUCAUCCAGUUCCAGUUCAGUGGAUUGCCAAAUCUUCACCCUCUCCAUUGCCUUAUCCACCGCCUUGGACUUGGCCUUGCCAAGAGUGGAGCUGAGCUUCUCUAGUUUGUCCAGCUGGGCAUCUAGGUCCAUGGCUUCAAACUCUGCCAAUUCUAGAUGAGCAAAAGAGCCUGUGGUAGAUGAACUUGGAAGAGAAUGGAUGGGCAUCUGCAAAAAGAGAUUGUAAAUUAGCGCCAAGUAGAAUCAGAAAAGAAAGAGGGGCAAACGCUUACAACAACAAUGGGAGGCUUCAAAGGACUGGUCAUCACUGCCAAUAUCCCAGCAGUUCUGGGCACUUCUACCUGGAAAGACUGAUCGUUAGAGAAGCAAAGAUAGGACAGAACUGUAGGAAAUAGACAUACAUAGUUAAAAUAAAAAAUUACCACAAGUUUAGGAGCAACGGCAGUUACCUUCGCUCCAGCAUCUGGGGCUGCAACAGAAAGUUCUACCUGUUCCAUAGGUUCUGAAACAGAUGGCUCUGCCUACUCCAUAGGCACUUGAAUUGCAGCAAAAUGUUCUGCCUCCACAUCAUCGAAUAGGGCCAGUUCUGAGCUUGUGGGUUCUGCCCUCUGAGCUUCUUCUUGUUGUUUAGCAAAGGCAAUGCUUUCUACUAUCACCUCAACAAGAAUCUCCUCCUACAAACAGACAAAAGUCAGAAGUUAGAAGAAGAACUGACCCAAAAGUUCAUACAGUAAUGAAUAGAGGCUCGCCUCUUCUUCAAACUCUUUGUUCUUCUCCUUUAACGGGACAUCCCCUUCUUCUUGCUCCUUCUCAUGCUCUACAGCUUCAAAGGCCUCCCUUAGUUCUUCAUCUGUGUCAGAAGUGAUUGUAGGAGCUGCUACAUGUUCUUCUGUGGCCACGUGCUCCACCACAGUCCUUCUUCUAAGUCUUUUUGACUUAGUAGGAAGAGGAGGAGGACUUUCAACUGCAAUAAACAGACAAAAAAUGGUUAGAGCAUGAGUCGAAAUUAGGCAAGAUAGAACAGAACAAAAUCAAGAGGACACAAACUUUCAAAAUUUACCUGAAGUCGCAGGCUGAACAACACCACCAUGGACUGAAGCAGUCUCUUUUCUUUUGUUCCUUCUGCCAGAAUGAGUCGCCUCAACAGCUAGUUGUUCCGCAAGAGUUUCAUCCUCUUCAUCCCCAGAGGAAAGCUCCAAGUCUCCGACAGCGAUGACAGAAGUGACUGCACAAGAAACAAACAAGUCAGAAGUCAAUCCAGCAGAAGAAUGAUAGGAGGAACAGAAUCAUGGAAAGCUUACUAAUCACUUCUCCAGCUUGGAAAAAUUACCCUCAUAUGUUCUUUGUCAGAGAAGGAUCUGUUGUAGGCAGAACAAAACGUUAGAAAUCAUCACAAAAGUAGAAUAAGCAAAGCACAGACAGAACCAAGAAUUUACCUUCUAUGGCUUGAGCAUUAAUAUCUUUCAUGGUCUGCACCAUGAAUCUAUGGGUUUCCUCUCCUGCGUGAACAGUCCAAGAGUCCCAACCAUCAAAUAGCACUUUUAGGGCAGUGCUCGAGGCAAGCAAACCAUGAAAUCUGGCCUUCCACCAAAUGUCAAACUCAGCAGAACUGCAGGAAUUUGGUUCCCAGGAUGGAUAAAAGAGCAUCUGCACUAUUGUUUAUCUUGUUCACCACACAUCUAGCAUCCUUAUGCACCUCCAGGUCAUCUGAAUCUCUCCAGGAAGAGGCCUGAUUACACCUUCUAUAUGAUUUAAGUGGAAUGAGCUGACGGCAGCCAAGCUGUCUCGCGCAGAAGUUAGGAUGAUAGACUUCUGCCCCCAAAUGAUAAUUUAGAGGCUUUCCACCUCCACACGGCAGGUCUCUUGGUAGGGUUACGCUCAGGAACUUCUUCCUGAAGCCAAUUCUUCCUCUGGUUCCUUCUCAAAUAAUCUGAAUCCAGGUUGAAACCAAGGGUAUGUUCUUCUAAUCACCACCUACCACUGAGCUGCAGAUCUCUUAGUGCAGUGCCUAAAGAACAUCAAGUACUCUUUAAUGGAAUACUUGGGCACUUCUACCAACAUCAGGGGAAGAGCCAGAACUUGUUCUUCAGGUAGAACUAUGUCUGGAAAUCUCAACUCUGGAAAGUAGACUUGCAGCCAGAUCUGGAUCAUCCAGAACGCACCAGGAGCAGACAGGUUCAAAGGGUUCUCCAGAGUGGCAGUAUGCAAGUUCUUGAACAAAUGAGCCAGAACUGUGGGUCCAAGCCCUAUGUCAGUAUGGUUGUGCAGAUCUUCUGCCAAAUGCCUAUACUCAAGCAGAACUGUUGAUGAGCGGGUCGGGAAAAUAAACCUGUUUAGCCAGUAUAAAAAGAACAACAUGUGCUGCUGAUCCUUGUCCUUCUCGGAACUAAAUUUCUUCGGGUAGUUGGAGAAAGAGCAGUUCUGGUUAAUGGUAGCUGGAGAGAUGGUGAAAGGCUUCACUAGCUUUUCCUGAUUCUUUCUCUUGUGGUAAUCACCAACUGCAUCCACAGGUCUUCCAUGGGGUCUGAACCAAAAAUCUAAGCCAUAUCCAGCAGAGUUAGAGUCAUUGGGCCCAGGCGAAAGUCGAAAGUGUUGCUGGCAGAAUUUCAGAAGCACAGAGUAGUAGCCAGAAGGUUCUUAUCCCUAUUUAUCGGCUGCUUGGAUAGAAGAAUAGCGUCAUAUAUGCCAGCCCUCUUCCAGUGAGCUCCAUAUCUAGGAAGGAGCCUAUCAAUCUAGUCUACCCACUUCACUGGACUGUUCCUCACUUCGCUCGAGGGAAACGAGCGGCUCAGGUUCUUGCUAACCCAAGUAUGGGAUGCUAAGGUAGAAGAGCUCUGGAAACACAACGGAGCUUCAGCGUCAUCUUUAAACAUAGCAACCAUUUCAGUAGGGACAUAACCGAACCAAUAAGGGCCUAUAACUAGGGUAUUCUCGAACAAAUGAAGGACAUUCUCCUCCAUAUUUUUCUUGGCAAAAUGGUGGAGCUUGCUUCUGACCUCUAUCACAUGGUUAUCAACCCCAGUACCAGUGAUGUAAUCAGGAGGAAUUGAAGAAGAGGAACCUUGGACACGGGUUGUUGGAGAUGACAUUUUCAAGAGUUCGAGUUGGAACAGAGGAAGUAAGUAGGAAAGGAUCGAGGUCUGAUCAAAAGAAAAGGGCAAAAGGUUCUGAGAAAUUGGAAACAAGUACGGAGGAGUUAGGUUUUCGGAUGAACAAGAGCUAGGGGUUUGAAUUUCUUUUAAAAAGCUCAGAAGAAGGCAAGGCGUCAUCCGUUGAUAGCUAAGCUAGUAGCUCGCUAAUAACUACCCAGUUUCCCACGAAGCCUAGCUCAGUAGACAAGACGUGGUAGACGUGGGUUAAUUGAAACAGAAGAGAGUGGCACGCAAUAUUAAAUGGCCAAAUCGAUUCAAUCUGAACCGUUACAAAUUGGAAACAAUUUCCAGAAAAACAGUUCAGAUUCAAGGGGGCAUUGUUUGGACCAACAAAUUACGGGCCCAGCCCAGCAAUAGGAGCCCAAGAAGACAAAACUCAGGACCCAGGCAGUUUGGACUAGAAUUGGAAUCGAGGGCCAAAAGUUAAAAAGCCCAAACCCAAGUCAGAUUUUUUACCAGAACCCAAAAACUGGAAGGAAGCCCAGUACAUACGAAUUGCUCAGCCCUGCUCAGCCCACAGCCCCAAAACUCAAAAUUGAGCUUAACAUGGUUAAAUGAAGGUAGAGAAAAGCCCAAAAUUGAAGAAACCUAAAGCAAUUUUAUCAAAAUUGCCAGCUCUCUACCCAAGUUGAAAAAAGGGGCCAAAACACCACUUUAAGCAAGAAGUGACGCACUCAGCCUUGAAUCACAGAGGAACCCACGUGACUAUCUGACUUUGAGAGGUAAACAAUUUCAACUUGUCACAGGAGAAGUUGAUUGGGAAUUAAUGAAGACGGGAUUUCAGAAAGACUUUUCUGAGACUCUGCAGCUAAAAGAUCAUACUCCCUUUCUAUAUAAUUCUGCAUUAGAAUAGGUGGUCUUCCCAAAAGAUAGGCAAACUACGAUUUCAAGAGAUAAGUAGAGGGAGUUGUUCAAACAAGAAAAGUAAACUAACCAUCAUGGUAGAUUGUUUUCUUUCUCUCUACGAAGAGCAACAGGGGACAAAGAAGAGUUUGUUUUUCUUUCAGAAAAAGCAAGGAAAAGACCUUCAUGAAAACUGAUCAUUGAUGGUUCUUCUCUGCCAAAACAGAUGACUUCCCUUUUUCUUUACAUUUAAAAUAAAAGAUCUUGCCUUUUGAAAAUUUGCCGCCCAUUAUUAAAAGAUUAGAAAGCCCCACUCCAGCAUUUUCUAUAAAUAUGAGAGGAGGUGAACAUAUCAAGGGACAGCCAAAAAAAUAAUCAAAAAUAAAAACUCAAAAUGAUCACUUGAUCUCAAAAACCUUCAAAACACUGAAGCAACCAAAAUCUCAUUGAGCCACAAGAAAGAGGCCAGCUACAAAUAAAAAAAACUUCUAGUUUCAAACUUAGAGAAAGAGUCAUUCAAAACGAGAUUUCUCUCGUUACAAAUUUAGUUCAGCAAAAGCCUAAUCAAGCAGAGUCUGGGUUUCUACAAAUAGACAACCUCAACAAAUUUAUGGAGAGCCCUGAUCAAGCAGAACAGGUACCACAGUGCAGUUCCAGCUUAGUAAUCCUCAAGUCUAGCCACUUCUGCCCUUUUCAAACUGAAGAGGCUGCAAUUUUGCCAGUUCAAAAAGCCUUCCAGGGCUUGAAAUAGAUUAAAGCUCUACCAAACUCGAACGUUCGUAUCGAUGUACAGCUAAAACUUAGCAGUUGAAGUUGUUGACAGUCCAGUCCAGCACAGGAACACCCAGUCCAGCCCGGAUAAGAAACUUCUAUCCAGGCAGAAAUAGAAUUCUAGCCUUCUUUUUGUCUUUCUAGAGUUGGUUUUUUUCUUUUGAGUUUUGUAAAAGGCAGUUCCGCCUGAAAAUAGUUCACUUUCUUACUAUUUAUUCUAGCCAUAACUACCAACCUUGUACUAUGAAAAAUUGUAAAGUCCUCAUCAGUCUGAGGCAAGAAAAGAACUUACUUGGGAGAUAUUCCUCACCCAAAUUCACAAUCGUUUGUUUAGAAAUCAAUAACUUGAGGCGUAAGUUAUCUAUUUUUAAGAAGUCUGCUAGGAUUUUCAUUGCUAGUAGUGGCACGCUCGCACACUAAAGAAAGUUGACUAGUUGGCCAGUCAAUGGUUCUCAAGGCAAUGGGGAACUCUACCCUACCAUCAUAGGAACAAACAUAAAACGGGUGAACAGGACCUACAUCUAAAAUCAAAAAAGCGAGGACUAAACUAAUUAUUUUUGACCUAGAUCUAAGAAGCCCUUUUAUUUAUUAUCUAACACCGUUGCAUGCCAUUGACAGUGUGCCUAUGAAUGAGGAAGAGAAAGUUGUGCUUGACUGAUGAUUGACGGAAACUUUCGCAAGUAAAUCCUCAAUGCUACCAGUUGAAGGCCCUUCAAUGCUAAAGUUAGCUUAAGGGGAUGAGAGCAAGCUAUCGACAAUGCAAGGAGUACAUAAGUGUCAAGUAGCAAGUCUACCCUGUGUCUAGGGUAAGGAGCUAUAUUUAUAGCGAGUUCUGAGUUUUUUUUGGUACUUAGUUUCGAUGUGGGACUCGUGGGAGUGCUUUCCGAGGCUGACACGCGUCCCAACAAAUAUCCUAGCGAUGAACCCGAGAACAUCCUACAAGAUGGCGUAGAAUUGGCAAGGCGUGCCAAACACACUUACCGGCCGUGGGCUGGCCAAUGAACAAUUGGUGGAUGGAGCUGGAAGGUGUCUGCCGUUUGUAGGAUUAGACCUGCCAGCAUGGGUUACAGGGCCAUGUUGUGCAUAGAAUCGGUCAUGGGUGUUGAAAAGACCUACCGAUUCAUACUAUUGGGCUUGCCAGCGUGGGCCAUGGAGCCUUCCUUAGUGUCAUACCCCUUCCACAUGUCAUGGCAUGAGAUGCAGGUCAUGUAUGAUACAAACAAACUUAAAUUAAUUAAACCCAUCAUGCAAUGCAUUUUCUUUCAACUUUUUGUGAUAAACUAAUAUAUAAUUGACUAAAUAAACAUCCUCCAAAGUUUCAAUAAAAAUUACCAAGUUUUUCUUACAAUUUUCGUAGUUUUUAUUCAAUUUUUAUCAAUAUCGAUAAUAUCUCGAUAUUUCCAUCACACUAAUUAUCAAGGGACCAGUUGUUGGAUGACACCUGGGCCAGAUUAGAAGUGCAUUAAAUGUUUCCUUUAGUAAUUCUUGGAAACCUGUGCGAGCUAGAUUGCUUAUAGAGGCGAUCUAUGGUGGAUUUUCCAGUUGUCUUUGAUUUGCUUAUGCUUGAUUCAAUCAAGAAGUGUGAAGGAGUUAUUGUCUAAGUAUGAAGCUCGGGUGGUUUCGAUCGUGAGUGGAUAUCAUCGAGCCGACCAGAUGUGAUACCCAUGGUCUAGAGAUUUGAUCGAAUCAGUUGGUCUGCUUAAUAGACUAUGACAGGUCAGGUCAGUUCUUAGAGGUAUCUAGCUGCUUGGUCACGUGGCACCAUACUAUUGGCUCAGUGAUAUGACGUGUCAACAAAACCCUCACACCGAAAACAAAAUAGAAGAAGUUUUUUUUGAGCUAAUAAUAUUCCGGAUAAACCAUAUUCUUGAAGUUUUCUCUAAAACCAUAUUCUUAUCGACGCUAUUAAGUUGACCGAUUCGUCCAUGUAUAAUUUUGUUCGCACAGAAAAAUGAGGCACACCUAUUUUCAAUCGACUACCUAAUUAGUUAACAAAUUAUGAAAUAAAUAAAUAACAAACCAUACAAUCAUGUUUUGAUUCCAAGAUGCUGACAAUGUAUGUUUUUGGGAAAAUAUAUUAGGGAGAAGAUAUUAUUGAACCACAUUAUGAAUCACUUUUCUGAUAGAUAUGAGACCUACUUGUAUUGGUGGGUCAUACCUUUAUUAGAGAAGUGGUACAUUAUACGAUACAAUGAUGUAGUUUCUCUAACAUUACUUUUAUCUUUUAUCAAUAUGUAGAUCUGUUUCGAACUUGGAAUUGCUUUCAACAUUGGGCUACGUGGGCAGGAAUUCUAGGCUUGGCUUACAAUUCUCUCAUUCUCCAACCUCUUGGAUUUGCUUGCAUGGAUUACCUCAUUGCUGGCUCAUUUGGCUUCAGUUGAGCCACAUUUAGUGCCAAAUCAAAUCGCAUCUUUGUCAUGCCUUUGGCCUUCGGAUCCACUAUGAACUAUUUUGCUCUUCUUUCAACAAUAGUCAUGUUUGAUCCAACCUUGGCUAAGGUUUGAUUCGGCUUAGCUAAAUUUGCAUUCACCAUGUUGGUCUUACAAGUGUACAAGAUAUAAUCUUUUUUAUUUAUUAUCUAACAUCGUUGCACGCCAUUGACAGUUUGCCUAUGGAUGAGGAAGAUAAAGUUGUGCUUGACUGAUGAUUGACGGAAAUUUUCGCAAGUAAAUCCUCUCUAGCAUUGCUCGUGCCGGAAGUGCAAUUGAGGAGCUGUAUGGGUUUAGUAUUUUGUGAUGAGUGUUUAAGGUGUAUCAAGGGUAUUUUUGGUAGUUAAAUAAGAUGUACUUUGUUAAUUUUAUAUUUUAAUUUAAAUAUUAGAGUGUACUUAGAUCACAGGGUGUACUCAGUUAAUUUUAGAAUUCGUUUAACCACACUCUAUUAUUAUUAAUAGUUUUCUAUCAAAACAAACCCUUAAGGUCCUUAACUAUUGGCUUGCAGCCACAUAUAAUUACUGUGGUGACCUUCUCGAAUUAUCAAUUUUUAUUCAUUUAAGUUGUUGAUCAACUGCUGCAGGCAAGUUAUUCUCCUGAACUCGAGUCCCAUCAAGAGCGGGUCAAGGGGGUGAGUAAUUGUCUCAAUUCCACAUGUAAACAAAGGCUCACAAAACUCUCCAAAAUAUACGCAUUAAUUCUUUGCUUAUUUUCCCUUUAUAAGAAGAAGAAAGCCCUUUCUAAUUCAUCAUCAGCAAUACAUAGAAUAGAACCUGAAUUCAAGAUUUCCCACGAAGUCGACCCUAACAACAAAUCAAAAACUGCACCAGUGGCCACCCAGAAGCUCAACCUAUUGGAAGGAGAUAGCGUCGAUGUCAUCGCACCAAGCCACCGCGUUGCCUACCCUCUUGGUUAGGUCGUUGAGAAAGCUCAUCCCGAGUGCGAGCAGUUCGCCAAAGCGCGCAAGCAUUUUCAGAAAUAAUUUAAGGAAUUGAAGACGAAAACCGUCUGAUAUUAAAUCAAUCUCCAAUUUCAGUGAAUUUUUCUUUUCGAUUGCAAAGAUAGAUAAAUUGUGGUUUAAGAAAUCAACAGUUACAAUUAUGAUAUAUUCACAGUUAUGUUUUGUGAAUUCACAACUAGUAUAAAUAAGGAAGUGUAAUUAGAAGUAUUAAAUCCGUGAAGAUAUUGCCAUGUCGAUUAAUCUUGUCUUUUUAUUUUUUACUUUAUUAAUUCUUAAUUAAGAUUCAAUUUAGGACCUAUUUAAAGAGAAGUAAAAUAUGAUUUAAAAUCUAUCUUAUAAACUAAUAAUCUCCUAAUCAAAAUACUAAACUUUUAACAUGUCACUUAUCAAUUAGACCUUAAUUAUACUAAGCUUAAAUUCCUUGGUCCAUACUAGUUUGAUUUUUAUUUUUUAUUUUAGUGUGAAAAUUUGGUCUUUUCUUUAAAAUAAUGUGCUAGAUAGCGUGAAAGUAGCAAAUAAAUAAUGAUGUGUUCAAAUUGGAUUUGACACACAUCACAACCCAUAUCAUCAUUAAGGCCCCAAAAAUUGAAUCAUUAUGUGCCUGGUUAAUACGUUAAGUAGUUUAUGAAGUGAUUAAGGUCGAAGAGGAUCCAUGACUUGUAAUGGAUCACUUGUUCAUUUUCUUAAAAAAAAAAUUAAAUAAAUAUACUCGCAAUACCGACUCCAUUCGUAAUUCCAUCAAUUACUCCAUUGUGUGUCUAAGUCAGAAAAUCUUCGAAGGCACGUAGAAAGACAGGUCCCCCAUCUAGUAUACUAUGAGGAAAAGGACGGCUCACAACAAGUUUAUGUCUAUAAAAUCCCAGAUGAUGCUACACAGCCCUGACCCUGAAUGCAAGAUUUCCCACGAAGUCGACCCUAACAACAAAUCGAAAACUGCACCAGUGGCCACCCGGAAGCUCAACCUAUUGGAAGGAGAUAGCGUCGAUGUCAUCGCACCAAGCCACCACAUUGCCUACCCUCUUGGUUUGGUUGUUGAGAAAGCUCAUCCCGAGUGCGAGCAGUUCGCCAAAGCGCGCAAGCAUUUUCAGAACUAAUUUAAGGAAUUGAAGACGAAAACCGUCUGAUAUUAAAUCAAUCUCCAAUUUCAGUGAAUUUUUCUUUUUGAUUGCAAAGAUAGAUAAGUUGUGGUUUAAGAAAUCAACAAUUACGAUUAUGAUAUAUUCACAGUUAUGUUUCGUGAAUUCACAACUAGUAUAAACAAGGAAGUGUAAUUAGAAGUGCACUCAAGUAUUAUAUCCGUGAAGAUAUUGCCAUAUCAAUUAAUC